UUGAUAUAAGUCUUAUGAUCUCAAUUAACCUGAUCUCCAUGUGCUCUUUCUAUAUAACAAUAUCCAGGCAAACAAUAUAUAUUCAGCCCCUUUUGUCCUCUUUUCUGUCAAUUUGAUCUGAUUCUCCCUAACAAUUUGACUAAACUACACCAACUCUACAUCCUCCUAGAUCAACAUGCAUCUUGCAAUUCUAUUACUUGUACAUUGAAUUAUUAUCCCAACAAACUCACCAAGUAUUCGAGAUUCUAAAUCAAAAUUCUAGUUGUUUCACAUUUUCAGUUAAAUUUAUUUAAAAAAAAAAUGAAACGGUUAAAUUUAAAAAAAAAACUAAUUAUCAAUUCACAUAAUCAAAGUUGCGUGGAAAAAAAUUGAUUUUUUAUCAACAAUACUAUUGCUUCUUUGUAGGGAGAGUUUUAAAAAAAAAGAAAAGAAAAAAAGGUAAACUAUAGUUUGAUGCAGAUGAAGAAUAACAACAGCUCAAAUGAUUUACAUUGUGUUUGCAAUGAUCUGCUACCACUAGCAGCUCAAGAAGUUUCUUUUUCUAUAUAUACUUCUUCUUUUCUUUCUUUCUUUCUAUUUUUUUCGCACGCGAUAUCAAUCGAUCUUCACCGACGAGAAGAGGUAGUGCACGAACCAGAACGACGAGACGAAGCCGACGGUGCCGGCGGCGAGCAUGACGGCGAGGACCAUCAGUAGGGAGUACCCCAGGUAGAGCGCGGCCGACACGGGCCCGCUGAGGCUCUUGAGGUCGAAAACUAGGUACUUCACCGCGUACACGAGCACGUACACCGCGACCGACCCCGGCGCGAAGAACGCCUUCCACCACCACCGCCAGUCCUCCGCGCAGAGGUGCACGUAAGUGAGCACCAGCGCGACCUCCGCGCAGACGACCACGAAGAGGCCCAACACCAGCAGUAGGAACCCGAACACGUAGUACACCCGGCCCAUCCAAAGGCUGGAGAAAAUGAAGAGCAGCUCGACGAAUAGCGUCGCGAAGGGCAGCGCCCCCGCCGCGAGCACCAGCAGCCACGGGGGGUACCUCCGCAUGGGGACCUCCCGCGGUAUCUGGUUAGUGGGCGUCGGGAAUUCGACGUGCGGUGCUUUCGCACCGAAGAAACCGCCGACGAGAGUCAGCGGCACGGAAAUGCAGAACCAAGUGAAGAGCAAGAAAGUAAGGAGAGACGAGGGGAGGGCCCCCGUGCUAUGGCUGGCCGAGAGAAGGCAAUUGAGGACGGCGAGAAUGAAAGACGCUAAGCCCGGGAACGCGCACGCGACGCGCCACGACACCGCGGGCCACCCGGCGGGGUCUCCGGAGUUGAGCGUCUUCCAUAGCCGGGCCGCGGCGUACCCGCCCGCGGUCCCGAGGACGAGGAAGAAGAGCAGCAUUCCGGAGAUGAGGGCGCCGCGCGCCGCGGGCGACAUGAACCCGAGGGCCGCGAAAAAGAUGGUGGCCGCCGCCAUGCCGAGAAUUUGCACCCCCUCGCCGACGAGCACGCAGAGCAGGAGCGGGCAGCUCGGCGGGCGGAAGGCGUCCCCCGCGACGAGCUUCCAUCCGGACAGCUCGCCGUCCUUCGCCUCCGCCGCCGCGUCCAGCGCCUCGUACCGCGCCAGGUCGCGGCGGACGGUCCGGAGCAUAAUUGCCACCGCCACGGCGGCGAGCAUCGCCACCACGGCGAGCGAGCCGAGUAUCGACAGCCAGUGCACCCUCUCGGCGCCGCCCUCCGACCGCAGGUACGCGUCCCAGCGCGACGGCCACCGCACCGCGCUGCCGACGAACUCGACGUCGUACGUGAACGCCACCCGCUCACCGGCCGCCACCCGCAUCCCCGGCGACCUGGCGUCGCACUCGAUCGGCGCCGGGUAUUCGUCGUACAUGUCUAGUCGCUCCGCGAGUUUCCGGUCGUGCCGGACGCUGCACGGCGCGACUUCGAAUCCGACGACCAUGAAUUCCUCCUCCUCCUCCUCGUCGGUGGCGUUCCUCGGGAUCAGCUGCUCGACGGCGACGUCGCCGGUGCCGGGGAUGAGAGUCGUCGUCAUCCGAUCACCGUCGUCGGCGUCGCCGUGCACGCGGACGGUGAACUUGAGGUGAUUGAAGAUGAAGUAGUCGUCGCCGCGGCGGGCUCCGAUGGGGAAGCCGCGUUGCUCGGACGCGACGUUGAUGGCGGGGAGGUUGUCGAGGACGAGGUUGGCGGAGUAGGCGGCGUCGACGCGUUGGCGGAGGAGGGCGAAGUCGCGGGGGGAGAGCGGGGGAGAGGAGCAGAGGAAGGUGCGGGAGGCGUUGAGGCGCAUGCGGAAGAGGUAGGGGGAGGACUGGAUGCGGUCGCCGAGGAGGAGCUCGCCGAGGGACUCGGCGGAGGGGCGGGGGCCGGCGGGGGGGGGGGGGGGGGGGGGGGGGGGGGGGGGACUGGCGCGUGCGUCGCGUCGGCUUCCCGCAGGACCGGGUAGAUGGCACAGGCAACGCGCGCCGCGGCGGUAAGACUGGGCGGGGGUAGGUGCCCGGAGGUAAGAAGGCGACGGAGGAAAGUGAGCAGGAAGGAGAAGGAGAAGGCGAAGAAGAAUGCAGAACUAGCUGCUGCUGUUGUUGUUGGAAGAGUGAUUUGGGAGACGACAUGGUCUUGAAGGAAUAAGGAAAGGAAGACUGGAAGUAAUGGUGAAAAUUGGGAUUUGGGGGAAUGGGGGAAUUGGGGUGGUGGGAUUUAGAUGGAGAGGUUGAGAGGAGAGAGAGAAGAGAGAGAGAGAGAGAGAGAGGGCAGGGGAAUGGAGAAGGAGAUGCAGCUUGAUGGGUCUUACAAUUACUUGACUACUGUUGGCUAGUGAAGGACAGAGAGAGGAGGCGGUAGGGGAAGUUGCUUGUUUAUUAUAGACGAUUCAAAACAUAUUUUCCAGAAGAAAAAUGCUAUUUGUAGUCUGUACACCUCUACUAUUAAUAUACAUAGUAUGAGUUCGGUUGCUGCAAUCGAUUGGAACAAAAGCCUAAUGUUAUCCGAAUUUUUUUACCGUUCUUUGCACAAAAUUUUAUUACUUAUUAAUGAGUGGCAGCUUUGGUUGAAUAUAUUAGGAAAAACUUCAAAAACCUCCCUGUGGUUUCCAACUUCUCACUUUUAGUAUCCAGUGGUUUAAAGUGUAUCAAUUUGUCCCCCUGUGGUUUUGUUUUUAUUUUUCUAUAAUUUUUCCUUAAUAUUUCGUUAAAUUAUAUGCAAAAAAAACAUGCAGAUAUCCAUCUAGAUUUACGCGAAUAUUUACUUUAGUACUGUUUAGUUUUAAUUUUGUUGCUGAUUUGAGAAAAAAAAAUAAUAAAAUUGAUAAAAAAAAAGAGAAAAACGAAAACUACAGGGGGGCAAAUUGAUAACUUUAAACCACAGGGUAACCAAGGUGAGAAAGCUGAAACCACAAGGGGGUUUUUUGAAGUUAUCCCAAUAUUUAUGUACCGUGAACAAUCAUUGCAACCGCGAAAGAGGGGUCGACGAAGCGGAAGCGAGGAUAAUAAGUAAGAACGGUUAGUUUUAGAAAUAAAUAUAAGUUUAGAUUAUAACAGAAACUAGAUCAAUUUUGUAUUUUGGAUGAAAAUUAGAUGUUUCCUAGAAAUAAGAUAAAUAGCGUUUGAAUGGUUAGAUUGACAAAGUAAAUAAAAGUUAUAAUUUGAAAUUAAAAUUAUAUUAUGUAAUUAAUUAACAUCAAAAUUACUUAAAAAUAAAUAAUAAAUUAAUUAUUCAUAAUUAAUUAUAAAUAAUAAUAAGUAUUAAUAAUUAGUAUAAUUAAUUAAUAAAAUAAUAAUUAAUAAUAUUGAUACUAAUUAAUAAUAAUAAUAAUUGAUAAUUAUUAAUAAAAAAUAAAUAAUUAUUAAUAAUAUCGAUUAUCUAAUUUUUUAAUAAUAAUAAUAAUUAUAUUUAUUAAUAAAUAAUAAUAAAAUUAUUAAUUAAUUACUAGUAUAAUUAAUAAUAAUAAUUAUCUAAUUAUUAAUAAUUAAUUACAAAUAAUAAAUUAAUAAUAAUUAUACGCUUAUACUACUUAUUAAGGAUAAUAAUUAUUAAUAAUUAUUAAUAAAUAAUAAUAUUUAUUAAUUAAUUAAUUAAUAAUUAAUUAUAAUAAUAAUUAAUAAUAAUAGUGAUUGUCUAAUUAAUAAUUAUUACUAAUUAACUAUAAUAAUAAUUAAUAAUACUAUGGAUUAUCUAAUUCAUUAAGGAUAAUAAUUAUUAAAUUAAUAAUUAUUAAUAAAUAAUAAUAAAUAUUAUUAAUUAUUAAUAAUUAAUUAUAAAUAAUAAAUUAAUUAUAAUAAUUAUCUAAUUAUUAUUAAUUAAUUUUAAUUAAUUAAUUAAUUAAUUAUUAAAGUAAUAAAUAAUAAUUUAAAUAUAUUAAUUAGAUUAAUUAAUAAUUUACCGUCAUUAAAAUUAAAUUUAGAUUUUAAUUAACCUUGUUCUUAUCAAGAAACAAGCUUGUUCCAGAAAAAAGGUAGAACAGCAGUUUCAGGACAGUUCUAGUCUUAUCCCAGCUUAUUUUUGAAAUCCUGGAACUACUGUUCCUGAGUAUUAAAUAUCACGUUUGGAAACAAAGGGAGGAACAAGGGCUUAUUCCUCUUCUUGUUUCCGAACCAAACGCUACCAAAAGGUUUUAUAGGGUUGACUUGAUCAACGGUGGAGCUUGAUCGAUCAUAGAUGGAUUUGAAAUAAUGUUAGGGACUUUUGACCAGUUCAAAUCCAGUUGAGCUCAAAAAUAUGAUGUAUGUAAUAAUAUUCAUUCAAUUUAAAAACAUAAGUCUAUCAGGUAUUUAUCCACUGAUAGAUAAAAACUUAAGCCUAUAAAUUAUAAACCCGCUAAUAAAUAAAAACUAAAGUAUAUCUGGUUUGGUUUCACUAAUAAAGAACUAGGCUGGAAUACUAUCAAUAGUACCAAGUUAUUGGUGCUAUUGAAUUUUUAGCCCUUGAAUUGAGAAAUAUGGAGUUAGAAUGAUGUGGGCCUCUUAGGAUUGAGUGGGUGGUUGGUUGAAUAGUAUAAUUUAACGGAUAAAAAUAAUCAAAGAGAUUAAUCUAACGGUAGAAAAUUUAAUAGCACAAAGUGCUUGAUGCUAUCGAUAGCAUGACAGCCGAAUUCCACUAAUAAAUAUCAAUUUUUUACUAUCUUAUUAAUUAUUCGAUUUCGAGUAGUUGUGCUUUAACCUACACUAGUCAGAAAUUCAUCCGAGCUUAUAUGCUUGACUUGCGUCUCUCGUGUCUGGUUGUUUUUUAAUGCAUCAACCAUCUGAGUCCAUAUACUUAAUAUACGCCUUUCGAAUCUAAUUCAUUUGAGUGUACUGAAACAUCAUAUCAUAUUAUCAUAACUUUUUUUUCUCUAAAUCCGUUGAAUUCGUAAGAAUCACUAAUUUGAUGUACUCUUAAAUAGAUAAUUUACCGACUAUGUAGAAAUUUUUCUUUCUUUUUUUUCCCCAUAGUGGAAGAUUUUUUAGGGCAAAAUUUGACUAACAAUUACGUAAAGUAGUUCUCCCAACCAUAUCGUUACCUAUCAAAAUUCUCCAAUUUUUUUUUUUUAGAGAUUCACAAAUACUAUAUAACUUUUUGGUUGCCGAAAUAGUUUUUUCGAAUUAAGUAUAUAAAUAUACACAAAAAGAUAUAAAAGAUUAUAGAAAACUAACAAUUAUUCAAUAAACAAAUAAAAAUAUUUUUAUAAACUAUUCAUUGUUAAUUGAAUAGUGUAUUAUAUAUUUUUUACUAUCGUAAGAAUAAUGAAUAAUAAAAUAAAGGCUAAAUUAUAUAAAUUCCUCCUUAUUAAAACUCGAUUUUUCAUUUUUCUUUUCUGUCAUUUAAAAACCUAUACUUUGCCCCCUUAUAAAAUAAAAAAUGUUUACUUUGCCUCCUACCGUUAGUAAUCCGUUAGGGUUCCGUUUAUAAAAUAUUAUUAUAUAUUUUUUAUGCCAAAAAUAUCCUUAGUCUUCUCUCCUGGGGAAAAUGAUGAGGGGCAAAAUGGUUAUUUUGUCAUCACAAUUCACAUCGUUCCCUCUGUGAACAUUUUUUAUUUUAUAAGGGGGCAAAGUAUAGAUUUUUAAAUGACAGGAGGGAAAAGUGAAAAAUCGAAUUUUGACAUGGAGGUUUUUUGUAAUUUAGUCUAGAAUAAAAUGAUCAAGCACAUUAUGCUUUAUACUUUUAUAUAUAUCCUUCAGUGUUAUAUAUUAUAAUUUAUAAAUGAAAUUAACUAUUAUUGAAUUUUACAAUUUUCUCGAAUUUUUGUUGAUUUCUAAAUCCAUUACUAGUUGAAUAACAGUGAAAGAUUAACAACUUAAAUUAAGCCUUCAAACUUGUAUUUGUUAGCAUCUUCGCAUACAUAUAUAAGCCAAACUUGACUGUAACCUUAACCUCUCGCAAUAGUUAACGCCUCUGUGUUACUAAACUCUUCUUGUUUUGUAAUAGAAGUAAAUCAUCCCUUCAAAGGGGAGAACGGCGUCAGAGCAUCGGGAAUCAAUGGCGGCAAUGGCACUAUCCUCGGCUGAGUCGUAGAAUCAGUAGGUGGCGGCAGCGGGUCUUGUAUCGGCACAAGCGGCGGAGGGAGCAGUGAUGAUGGUGGCGUGUCGUCGAACACCGAGGGUGGAAGUACUACCAGAGGGCCGGUAUCAUCCGAAACCAAAGGCGGCGGUGGCAAUGGCAGCAACGGAAUUGUCGAAGGACUUUCAUCUGGAACCAAUGGCGCUGGUGGAGUGUCGACAGGAAUUACCAACCUCGGCAGUGGAAAGUCAAAAUUCGGCACCAGCGGCGAGGGUGGCAGCGUGGAGAAUAUAGGGAGGAAAGGCGGUGAUGUGAUGUCGUUAGGUGGCGGCCGGGAGGGGACGAGAGGUGGAGGGAAUAAUAUUGGAAUUGUCGGCGGCAGAGGCGGUGAGGGGACUAGUGGUGGCGAUGGAGGUGGCGGCAAUGGCACGGGAGGCGGCAAAGGGGGCGGAAGGAUUAUAAUUGGCGGUGACGGAGGUGGUGGCGAUGGCACAAGAGGUGGCGGUGGUGAUGGAGGUGGCGGCGAUGGAACGAGAGGUGGUGGCGGAGGCGGAAAGAUUACAAUUGGUGGUGGCGGUGGGGGUGGCAAAGGUGGCGGCGGUGACGGUGGAGGAGGGGACGGUACGAGAGGUGGCGGUGGAGGCGGACAGAUUACUAUUGGCGGCGGCAAAGGUGGUGGUGGUGACGGUGGAGGAGGGGACGGUACGAGAGGUGGCAGAAAAAUAUACGAAGGGAAAUAAGGGGGUGGCAACGGGGAGGAAUGAGGAGGGGCGGGUAUAAAAGGAUUGUCGGGGGAAGGGAAAGAUGUAGAGAACGGCCAGCGCCCACAAGCGCCAACGAGGAAGCUAAACAAAGGAUCGCAAGUUCUACGUGAUGGACCUCUUCUGGUUCUGCUGGCUCUGCUUCUGCUUCUACUUUUUCUACUUCGCAGUUCAUUUUCGACCGUUAUUACACGUGGCGGAAGCUUGUUGUGCAAUUGGAGGUGUGUUUGUGUUGGUAAAAUUGUUGUUGUUGUUGUUGUUGUAGGCUGUGGGUGGGAGGAGGUGGGGGUUGUGUGGAGGAGAGUGAGGAGGAGAAGCAAGAUGAGUUUGAUGGGAAGUGUGGUGGUGGUGUUCAUGGCAUUUGUGAAAUAUUGCAUUCCUUUGUUCUCAUCUUCUAAGAAUAUAUAGAAGCAUCUGAAGAAAACUUGAACUAGGAACAAGAUCUAUAUAUAGAGGGGUGGGGGGAGUUAGUAAUUAAGCAUUGGGUUUUAUGAUUCUUAUUGUUUGUGCCACUCUGUUUACUCUUCUCAUCUGUGGCAUAAAUUUGACUUUGAGAAAUUGAGAAAGGAGAGCAAUUAUUGUAUGAAUCAAGGUGCAUUGAUUGGAGUCUCUAAAUGCUUCAUUUGGAAAGUACAACAAAUUUUUUAUUUAUUUUUAUAUAAUAAUAAUAUAAUAUUUUUAAAAAGUAUAUUUUUAUUUGCUUCCCCUUUAUAUCUUUUUAUCUAACAGCUUGAGACAACCCUCAAUAACAAAAUGGGCACUAAAAUUUUAAAAUACGUCAUAAAUUACAAAUGAGUAUUUAUUUAUUAAAUAAUCAUAAAAAUUGAUAAUACUAAAAUUAAUAUAUAUUAUAGAUAUAUUAUAAUUAAUAUAAAUUAUAUCCAUCAGUGUAAGAUCUCGUUUUAAUAGAUAUUCAAAUAUCUCGUUUAUAAGAUACUCAAAAAUAGAAUAGAAACAGAAAUAUAUUAUAGUUUAUUAGUGCCUACUCUAACUUAUUUAUAAUUCUUGGUUUACACAAGCUAUAUAUAUAUAUAUAGAGAGAGAGAGAGAGAGAGAGAGGGGGGGGAGAGAAUCAAAUAAAUAGUGGCUAGCUAAGGGGCUGUUUGGUUUGACGUAAAAUUGCGAAAAAAAAAAAUUUCGGUGGAAAAAAAAUUUUCGGAGAAAAAUAAAUUUUACGCUCUUAAACGUUUUGUUUGUAGGAAAAAAAAAAGUAAUUUUCCGUUCCGAUUGUUUGGUUGAAAGGAAAAGAAAAGAAAAAUAAAUAGAAAAUAAUUAUAUGUAUUUUGUCAUAUUAUAUAUAUUAUUAAUAUAAAAUAAUUAUCAUACUACAUAUAUUAUAUAAUUAUUAUAAUUUAUAUUUAUUAAUAAAUAUAUGUAAAAUAUAUUAUACAGUAAAUAUGUAAUGUAAUAUAUAAUUAUAUAUAUAUAUAUAUAUAUUUAAAUUCUAUAAAAUAAAUUAUUAUAUAUUUAUAAAUAAUAUUUAUAAAUAAAAUAUUAUAUACUAGUAAAUUUAUAACAAAAAUAAAAUAUUAUACAUAUGUAUGUACAGACAUAGAAAGAGAGGUCUAUGGUGGGUCCUCUCACGUGGUCCACAAGAAUAAGCUUUUCUCGUGGACCGCGUCUUUUUCCGCUGCCAUAAGCCGUGCCUUUUGGUAAAGAGUUUUCGUUUUCCGUGUAAAAAUGACGGAAAACGAAAAGCUUUGUUUUCAUCCAAAUCUGUAAAAAAAGUUUUCAUGGAAAAUCAUUUUACCACAACCAAACAACCAAAAAAAAUAAACAAAACGAAUAACAUGUUACCUAUUUCUUAAAAAAAAUGACAAAGAGUAUCAUUAGCAUUAGUAACUCACUGUACCUAGCACAAAUGACAAAGAGUAUCUGAUUGAUAUCCGAUAUUUUAAAUUUAAAUUUUAGUUGAUUCACAUUUUAAGUUAAAUUUAUUUUUAAAUAAAAUAAACAAAACGGAUAGCAUGUUAUCUAUUUCUAAAAAAAAAUAUUGGUAUGAGUAAACUCCAUGCACCAUUCCAGUAAACCAUAAAUCAUAUUGAAAUCUACAAAUAUAGUAAUAAAAAAAAUUCAUAAUUUUAGCAUGCAUUCUAUUUUGAGAGUUGGCAUAAUAAUAUUAUUCGGCUAACUUAGUAGGCUCACUGUCACGCCCCGGAUUACAUUUUCCCCGGGCACGCCGACAAAUCCGCCGUAUACAAAGAAAUUUUCCCUGUAUACGAAGCGAUAGCUGUACCUGUAAAUCAAACACUACUACGAACAGUAGUAGGGAGCUGCUAGAGAAAACAGAAGCUAAACCAACUGAGUUUCAUAUACAUAGUCCAAAUCCAAAAUACAAAGCUACUCGCACUGGCGAGUUAGGUCCAUUAUGUACAUAAACUCGAAACAAAACAUCUACCUGCAGUAGGGGCACCUCUAGCUCAGCACGUCGGGUAGGGCUCUAUCUCGCGACGCCCUUGCCUCGAUCCUGAUCCGCAGACGGUGCAGCAGCCGGAACCUGUGGCUCUGCAAAAAUAUAGGUAACAACUGGGCGUGAGAACUACUGUAAAAACAAGUAGUCCUCAGUGGGUACCGCCAAAAACAACAUCGGUCACUCACUAAGCUACAGAAGGGAGCAAGGAUAGUAGGAAAAGCAAGAAGUACACUCUACCGCUAUCAAUCACUACACUAUCAUGCUCUACACUAACCAACUGUAGGAAUAGUCAAGUCUGACCCAAUCCAAAUCGGGACUGUAAGCAUACCCGUCCCCGGGACUGUGAAUACACCCGUCCCUGCCCCGUUGCGACUANAGUCAAUAUCCAUCGACUUACCAUUGUGUCAAAUUGGAUUUACAAAUCUAAUUUUGAGUAAAGUCGAUCAAUCUGAUAUGCAUGUAUCAAAAGUUGUUUUAUCAAUAUUAUUUUUCUUUUUAAAUCUCAAUAUCUUUUUAUAGCUAAACAAAUAUGAAAUCCCCCCAAAAAAUUCCUCACCAUUUAUACACCAUUCACAUAUGCUCACUCCUAGUUAGAUCUUUUUUUUUUGGGGGUCAAUUACAUAUAGAUCCUUUCAAAUAUAGUGAAUUGCAGAUAUAUUUCUAUAAAGUUCAACUUUCAUAAAUUAUUAUUAUAAAAGUUCUAAUAUUUUCAGAUAUAUCUCUACCGUUAGAAUCGGUUAGAAAAAUUUAGUUAACCAUAGGUUAAAUACUUUACCCGGAUUAAUUUUUGACAUUUUUAUCCAUCUUAUAUUAUACUGUUAUAAUUUUUGAAAGAACAUAUUUGUGAUGGCAAAAUUGAAAAUAUAAACAGUUUUCUAACGGUUCUCUAACGGUAACAAACCAGAGGGACUAUCUGAAAACGUUAGGACUUUUGCAAGGAUAGCUUAUGAAAGUUGAACUUUACAGGAAUAUAUUUGUAAUUCACUAUAUUCGCGGGGACCUGUAUUCAAUUAACCCUAUUUUUUUUGAAUGAUACCAUCAAAUGCACGAAGCUUACUCAUUGGUCAUUGCCAACCCAUGCAUUAACGAGAAUAAGCUCCAAGCUCCCAAGAAAAUUUCAAGAAAAAGCUUUGAGACUCUCCAUUGAAUAUAAGUAUUAAAAUAUAAUUUAACAUGAUACAUAAGAGAAAGUACUAAAUAUAAUAUUAAAAAUACUAUCCUAUAAUAGUUUAAGCUUUUAGAGGAACCGAUUGUUUUACAUUGUGUAACAUUCCUCGACAUCUAGGCAUUUUGAAACUAGUUCAUGAAAUUUAUUAUUUACAAUAUUUGAACCCCAAAAUUCAAUUCUUAGAAAAGAACAUCAAAACAUAAUGGCCUCCAUAACUUCUUUUUAAAAAGUAAAAAAAAAAGAUAGAAACUACAUCUUGGCUGGAAUUUCACAUAAGAAUCUACGUCUAAGUGCCACAUAUAUUGAAAAGAUGUAUGGUAUACACUCUUUUUUGGAAUGUGAAUGCAACAUUAUUUUCCUUUUUAUUACUGUACCAAACUAGCUUGCCAACCCACAAAAUGUCCACAUUGGUUAAACUAUUAAAAUAAAGAAUAAAGUGGUCCAUAGAGAUGAGGUCUUCAUAUAUUGAUUUUUUCAGCCAAAAAUAAUACCAUUAUAUAUUUCUAAAAAUACUAUUUUUAUACAUUAUUCAUAUAUUAAACACUAAGUAAAAGUGUAUAAUUAGUUUAUACACACACUCUUAACAUUUUAGAGACUCAAACUUUUUCCACAACAAGUGGCAAAGGGCUUGAUGAUUGGUAUCCGAGAUCUCAAAUUCGAAUUCUAGUUGAUUCAUAUUUCCAGCUAAGUUUAUUUCUAAAUGAAAUAAACGAAGCGGGUAGCGUGCUACCUAUCUCUCUCUCAAAAAAAAAAAAAUCCACAACAAAUCAUUCUUACCUUUCUUUUUUUAACAACGCUUGCAGGUCGAUUAAACUUUCUUAUAGAAUGCAUAUAAACUCUUCUAUUUAGUGAAGAUAUUUGAUAGUGCAGUUUGCUAAGAACCCCAUAGUUGGUUCAUACUCUUAUUUUCUUUUGAAUUUUUGUAUACUCUCUCUCUCUCUCUCUCUCUCUCUCUCUCUCUCUCUCUCUCUAUUUUGUCCUUCUGCCCCACUAAUUUUCUUGUCUCCUGGCAAUCUUUAUUGGCAGCUGCCACCUGACUGUGCAGUCUUCCCCCUCAUCUGCAUCUUCAUCUUCAUCUGCCCCCACAAAGUUUGAAAGUGCUUUCCUUGUAGUCCCUGCAACUGUCCUUGUCCCUUCCCCACCCCCCCUGUUUUUUUUCUCAUUUCCUUUUUUUUUUUGAGCCCAAAAAACCAAAGCCUCAAAAGGUACAUACAUCCAAUUCAAAAAGAGUAGCCCCCCUCUGCCCCCACUACACAAGAGAUAGGGAGAGAGAGUAAUUAAGAGAGAGAGAGAGAGAGAGAGAGAGAGAGAAAGAGAGAGAGAGAAUUUCAAAUCAAAAGGCAUCAACCAACCCAGAUUCAAAUUGUGUGCUUGUUCCCAUGCUCAUCAUUCACUAUUUUUACUCCCUCCCCACUUCAUAAGAGAGAGAGAGAGAGAGAUUUGCUUAAGCUUCUCUUUGAACUUUAUCAGGGACAGGAGAGUGAGACCAUGAAUCCAACAUCAUCAUCAUCAUCAUCUCCCUUCCUAUCUCUUGUGAUUUGGGUCUUCUUCUUCUUCUUCUUCUUCUUCUUCUUCUUCCUACAAGCUCCCACCAAUGCAAGAGAACUACCUCCCAUGUCCUCUCCACUCCAUUCUCCCUUCCCAUCACCUCUACCCACUCUCAUUCUCCCCUCCUCUCAAAGCCUACCCAUCCCUGCAUCUCCCUCACCUGCAACACCACCUUCUACAGGUAAGAAGUUACUCAGAUUCCCAUCAUAACUUCAUCUUGGAUUUGACUUUGGGGUGCUUAAUUUAAGAUUUGGAGGGCACUUUUCGUAUAAAGAUUGAAAUUUGGUGGAAAAAAUUGUACCUUUUUUUCCUCUUUUUUUUGUCCUGCUUACUUUUGUGAUUGUAUUCGAAGGUUUGCCCUUUUAAUCUUUACAAUUGCUUCAUUUUUUUUGACCCAAGAUUUGAUUUUAACAGAAAUUUAAGGAAAACCAUAACUGUAAUUUAGCUUAAGAAACCAAAAUUUUCAUUUUUUUUUGUUUUCUGAGUGUAGUGAUGCAGAUCAUUGUGGAAAAACACCACCAUUACCACAAAGAACUAAUGGUGGCAACAGUUCUAUCUUCUAUUGCCAUUUUUAUGAUAAUUAUAUCCGCGUUUUGCGCCUGGAUCUUGUGGAGGAGAACUACUCAAACAGCUGAUUCCAAAGACAUCCAAAGCUCAGGUUUAUUUCAUCACAUAUAUUCCCAAUUAACCUCAAUUGUUUCCGCAAAUUGGGUGUAGGGAUUUAGUUCAUUUUGCCGAUUUAAAAUGCCGCAGAUUCUACUAUGGGAUUAGCUUUAGGACCAAUCUUGAACAAGUUGAAUUCAUUAAAGACGAGCAAGAAAGGAUUUUUGGCAAUGGUUGAGUACUCGACGUUGGAGUCGGCGACGAAUAACUUCUCCGAGAGCAAUGUGUUGGGUGAAGGGGGAUUCGGGUGUGUGUACAAAGCUUCAUUUGAUGGGGGACUUCUCGCGGCCGUAAAGAAGUUGGAUCAUGGUGGGCAGGAGUGUGUGAGAGAAUUUGAGGUGAAAUUCGUAGAUUAAUAAGUUGCUGCUCAAUCCAUUAACAUGAUUUGAUCUGCACUUUCACAUCUUCAUUUGUAAUUCUCUCUUGUAGAAUGAAGUGGACUUACUCGGAAGAAUUCGGCACCCGAACGUAGUUUCCCUUUUGGGCUAUUGCGUUCACGAAGGAAAGCGGCUGCUCGUCUACGAAUUCAUGCAAAAUGGAUCUUUGGAAUCACAACUGCACGGUAUCAUUCUUCGCGUAGUUUAAUCACUGGGCUUUUGGUACCUUUUUCUGGAGUGAUUUAAAGAUUGUAAAAGAGCAUAACUAAUCUCCGUAGGGGCGUCUCGUGGAUCGCAUUUAAGUUGGCACCUCCGCAUGAAAAUCGCACUCGAUACCGCGAGGUUCGCAUCAGGAAUUGGUUUCGUUUUCGAAUUUGGUGUUAAAUGAUUACUUUGUUUCUACUAACUAGCUUUUUUUUUGGGGGGUUUAAUUUUUGAGUAGAGGACUAGAAUAUCUUCAUGAGCACUGCAAUCCACCUGUGAUUCAUAGAGACCUAAAAUCCUCUAACAUACUUCUAGACGCCGACUAUAAUGCUAGGGUAAAUUCGAUUCGUCCCGAAUCUAUCUCAAACUCUUUCAAUUUUAUUUCGGCUAAAUCAAUUCGAAGAGUAAUCAAAUGCUGUCCAUGAUGCAGAUUUCAGAUUUCGGGCUUGCGGUGAAUGCUGUCGGUCCAAGCAAAGAAAAUGUUAAACUUUCGGGCACGGUCGGUUAUGUCGCUCCCGAGUAUCUAUUAGACGGUAUAUCAUGUCCAUUUCUUUUCCUUUUUCUGCGCUGUAAAUUAUGAUAACAUGUGAAGUAUAUCAAAUUGGGUAAUUUGCGACUGGUUUAAAUUUUCAGGUAAAUUAACUGAGAAGAGCGAUGUUUAUGCUUUCGGAGUAGUUCUUCUCGAGCUACUGGUGGGAAGAAAACCAGUGGAAAAGACGGAACCGUCUUUGCCGCAAUCUAUUGUAACAUGGGUAUGCUUUUUUCUUCUUUUUUUGGGAACUGUGUUUCUAAUUGAACUCCUUUUGAUGGAUUGUUUCGCGAAUUCGUUUAUGUGUGUAGGCCAUGCCUCAGCUUACCGACAGAUCAAAGCUUCCUAACAUUGUCGACCCCGUGAUCAGAAACAAAAUGGAUCUGAAACACUUAUACCAGGUAUAAAUCGCGAAACUCUAGUCUCAUUUCUUUGUUCUAACAUUUGAACCGCGAAGCUCCGUCAAUUUCUCUCAAACCAGAUACAGAAACCAUUAACUUUGUUUUGCUUUUUUUCAAAUCAAACAACGCAUUAAAUGAGGGAUGUGCACAUGAUUUUCAGUUGGAGAGUUGUCCCCACAUUUUGCCUAUAAACUUUUUCCGGACUUACCUGAUCGAAAAUGUGUGGUUUUCUUUUAAAAAUUCUUUUAGGUUGCAGCUGUAGCUGUGUUGUGCGUGCAACCGGAACCGAGUUAUCGGCCAUUAAUAACCGAUGUCCUUCAUUCUCUCAUUCCUCUGGUGCCCACUGAGCUUGGGGGGACACUUAGGGUCGUCGACUCAUCGCCUUUGAACCCGAAAGCCUUAUAAUCACCGAGCACUAUACAAGUUGGCACGAUAGUGACUCGAUUAAAGUUGUCGACAAGUGGUGCGAAAUUUUUCAUGGUUCAGAGUGUUUAACUAAAUUCUGGUGUUUUAGUUUAUGGAUCUUCGCUUCCGGGUGCUGUUGUAAAAAUCAGUGACUCUGCAAUUUUGUUCUUGAUGAGUAAUUUAUUGUAUAGUUUCAGAGUUUUUCGGGCAUCUUGACUUUAUAAUCUGAAAUGGAUUGGAGUGUUUGGUUGAACUCUUGAAAUAAGAAGCAGUUUCUGUUGAAAUUAGGGAUCAAAAUUAUGCGGUUAUAGCAUCUAAUUACCUUCAUUUUAUUUCUGAAAUUAAUACGAUGAAUCAUUUUGUCGGUGAAACUUACUGUUCUUAUAUGAAAUCACUUGAGAAAAUUUCUAAUGUGCAACAUUAUCCAGUUAGUAUAUUAAAACAAGUGUGUUUUCUUAAACUUAAUCUAAAUUUGCUAUUAGAGUAUACUUUUGGAAGAUCUUUAGCUAUCAACAUAGCUAAUGUAUGGAACCUCUUGGUUCCGCGUCGCUUUUGAUUUCGUAGAAUUAUUCUUAAAAAAAAAAAGAAAAAGAAGGAACAUCAUAGUGUGUAUUUAGGUAAGAAAUUAAGAUCAUCUUAAGCUUUCUAACCUCUCUUUAGUGAGAAGCAAGUGGAAAAUUUAUUAGGUGAUUGAAAUAAACCUCUUCUUAUCACAACCUAGUUAUUAGGUGAUUGAAAGUUUAUUAGGUGAUUGAAAUAAACCUCAUCUUAUCCAACACACCAAUGGAGAUGGUAUUGCUCUUCUUUCAUCAAAACCUAGUUUGUAUGCUCCAAAGAUUGCAUCAUACACUGUGAAAAAGCAUGAGAAAAAAAUAUUUUAGUUGUUUCCGUAUGUAAUAUUAUGUUGCACAUACCGUAAUAAGUCGAUUACGAUAUAUUUUUUGUAGUUCUACCGAAAAUUUUCGUAUGUAAUAUUAUGUUGCACAUACCGCAAUGAAUCGAUUACGAUAUAUUUUCUGUAGUUCUACCGAAAAACGGAGAAGCCUAUCUCUAUACAUUUUCACCCAAAUUUUAUUUUACGAUAUAUUUUCUGUAGUUCUACCGAAAAUGGAGAAGCCUAUCUCUAUACACUCUCACCCAAAUUUUAUUUUAUCUCUGAAUACUAAAUAGACUCUUAUUGUUUAUGUUUGAGGUUGAAUUUUGAGAUCUCAAUGCUAAAAAUAAUAAAGAAUGUGUCAUAUAUUCCAUAAUCUGAGCAUUCUUUCACUAUAGGCCAAUAAAAAAAGCUAAAAUGAAACCAAGAGCUUCAAAAUCAAAAAACACCAAAUUGGAGCUGCUUCCAUUAAUACUGUUAGAAGUUGCUAAGAGAAUAUGAUUUUCUCAUAAUAGGAUUGUUUAAUUAAUACAUUAUUUGCCAACACUACGUGUCCACAGUGUUAAAUUAUAUGAAAUAGUCGUCUUUCUUUAUAAGCUUAAGUUGGCCGGGGAUGGUGAUUUUAUAUUUUUAUAUUUAACACUUCUCUUUCGUUUGGGCUUGAGAUUUUUUAAUAGAGUCGUGACGUGUAUUUGAAUCAAAUAGAAGGAUAUUUCUAUUUUAACACUCUUUCUCGUAUUUAGGCUCGAGAUUUUUUAAUAGCUCGCGACUUUUAAAUGGAUUUAUAUAUGUCAUAUAUUUGAGUUAAAUAGAAGAAAAUCAAUUAUACCAUAGGUUUGACGGAACUCGAAUUACAGAUCUCUUCUUAUACGAAAUAACCACUUAUCUUUAAAAACUUAAAUUGUCAGAGAAUAAUAAUUUUAAUAUUUAUAUUCAACACUCUUCCUUACGUUUGGACUUGAGAUAUCUUGAUAUGAUGUUCAAAACAUGAACUUGAAUUAAUAGGAGAAAAUUAAUAAUACUGGGAAUAUGAUCGAACUCUAACUAAGAACCUCCUAAUUUGAUGCUUCGUUACCCGAAAAAAUCAAUUUAAUAAAAAACAAAUCUAGAAAUAUAUAUUAACACAUGUAAUAUUCACCCUAACUGCUUUUCCCACCCAAAAAAAAAACUUUUGUGAGGUACCGAGGUACAAAACAAAUGGCAAGCAUCGUUUCUUUCUUUCUUUCUCCUCCUCCUGCUAUUCUUUGGAUUGGGGAUAAGGGGUGGAAUAACCUCUUAUCCCCUUUUAUACCCAAACGUUAAUUUUUUACUCAAGAAUAAUAGUUUUCGGGUAUCUGAAAUAAGCUGGUAUAACUAUCCCCACUAAUAUAUCUAUUUUCUAUAUAUAAUUACUCACUAUUUUGAAGUUUUUAGUGCAAUAGUCUCCCUUUAAAAUUUUAUUUUAAAAAUAAACCUGUUAANAAAAUACUAUUACCAUCGACUUUGUUCUAUAAACUGAUAGUAAAAUCAGAUUGUGUUGCCCAAAGAAAAAGAAAUUUUUAGCAGAAGGGUCAAACCAAAUAUUCUAUAGCAUUUUAAUGUUGUCUUUUAUUGUCAUAAUAUCUAAUAUUAUCCAUCUACUCAAUCUCAUAGAAAAUAACUCAGUAGUAGUAUUAGUAGUCUCAGCACUAUUGCUAACGUGAGAAUUGAGUCUAACUAAACUCUCUUGAACAGAGGAGAUUUAUGACUGACUCUGAUACCAUGUUAUCUACUGAAGUGGUUUAAUAUAUAGAAAAUAUUUCAGAAAUAAUCUUAAUGACACAUCAGAUAAACUAUCUGAAAGCCCGACCUAGUAUGAACGCCGUAGAUAUAUGAUAAUGCUUGUUAUAAUGAAAACAACAGCAUGACCACCAUCUGAUUUCUAAUUCCCUAUUAAAUAUAAGUAGGAAAUAAUCCUUUUUUCUCCUCCUCUUAAUUUUUUUAUUUUUUUGAAAAAAAGGCUUAAAAAAGAUCUACAAGUUGUUGAGAAGUAGUUCUCCUUUUUUUUGGAGUAGAUGGUGUUUGGUGCAUUAACUAGUACUGUUUUGGACUAAUUACAACUUACAAGUACAAGAGAGGUGAUCACUGAUCAGCUUUGUUUGAAACUACAAAUUAUAUAAUAUAAAAUUAAAUAGAGUCCGACCGGGAUACUAUCGAUAGCACCAAGCACUUAGUGCUACCGAAUUUUCCGUCGUUAGAUUUAAACCUUUGAUUAUUUUCACCCGUUAGAUUAUACUAUUCAACCAACAACUUGCUCAACCCUAUAAGGCCUAUAUCAUUCUAAUCGUAUAUUUUUUCAUCCAAAGAUCGGAAAUCUAAUAGCACCAACAGCUUGGUGCUAUUCAUAGCAUUCCAGCCUAAUUCAAUUAAAUAUUGUGAUUUUUUAUGUAAAGAAUAUUACGUCGCGUAAAUCACAUUUUUUAGAUUAUAUUUUUUUUCCAACUCUUUUUUAUUUACUAGUGUUAGAUAAUCUCUGAUACCGAAGAGACCCUUAAUUAGACUUACUCAUAUUAAUAUCAUUAUUUUUAUUAGGUUGAAUUUUAUUUUGUCAUUAUGUAUUUAAAAAGUUGCACUCAACUACUCUAUGGUUUUAUCUUUAUUUUUAAUCCAAAAAAUUUGCAAGUUUUUAUUUUCUUUUUUUCACUUUCUACACUUUUUUUUUUUUUUUUUUACAAAUGUACCACUCAACUAUCCAUUUUUUCAAUCCCUACAUGGUAAAGCAUAAACCAAUUAUUUUAUAUAAAAGAUGUUAAAAAAUAUUAAUUGAAAGUAGCUGUGCAUAUAUUCAACUCGUUUGAACAAGAAAAUUACAAAAUAUAAAAAGUUGAAAAUAACUUGAUAAAACUUUUCAUUGAAUCCAUCAUGAAGAUUUACUUUACAUUCUUUUCACUAUUUAGCCAGUGUCUUCUAAUAAAGUUGUUAAAUUUUACCUAAAAUAAUAUAUUUGUUACCAGUAAUAUAUAUAUAUAGGCAAGAAAAAAAUAAUUGAAGGAUAUUUAUGAGAAAAAAAUUAUACAAGAUAGAAAAAUAAAAAUAAAUUUAAAAUACAAGAAAGAGAUUGAUAAAAUAUAAUAAUAUUUCAAACAUGACUCGAUUGUAAUUUGAUCCAGCCAGUCUCUCGCAAUUUCGAACACGACUCGGCCCAAACCGAUAUCCUGCCAUUUCAAACGUGACUCGAUCCAACUUGAUCUCCCGCAAUAAAACAAGAUGCUGGUCACUUUAAGUCGACAUAUGAUACUUUUUAGUCAACAAACUCUAAUGUAUUAUAAUUUUUAGAUUGAAUUAAAUUAUUGUAAUGAAUUUCUUCAGUCAAAUUUAGUUGAUUAAAUAGUAAUGUAUCGACGAUAUAGUAUUACGAGUAAGCGCCUCGCACAACGAUGUGAAAGUUUAGGUCAAUUCACAAGCCCUAGUUUCUGCAAAUCAUCCAAUAUCAAGCAAAUGCCAUGUCUAAGCCCAAAGAUUUUUCUAAAAUAAGUCCAGGGCCACAAAAGUAGUCAAAUCGUUUGCUUUUGGCCUUGAUAUCCAACGUGGUAGUCAUUCAUAUCCAACGUAUCAGUAUUUAAUCAAUUAAAUUCGAGUGUGGGAUAUAAUUAUAAUAAUUUAAAAAAAUUUGAGUCAGAAAUUAUAAUAAAUUAAAAUUUUAAGAUAAGGUUCAUGGACAUUAAAGUUUGAGGACCAAAAGGGCAAAUUGACCAACAAAUAAAUUGAAAAAAUACUAAAUUAUAGAAAAUUUCUUAUAAUACCGGUAUUUUCACUUUUCCUUCUUAACUUUCAAAAAUCUAUAUUUUACCCCUUAACAUUUCAAGUUGUUGCAUUUAAUCCCUCCUCCGUCAGGGUUCUAUCAUUAUUCCGUCUAUUUUUUAUAAUUUAUAAAAAAUAUUAAAAAAAUUAUGUUUUAAGGUAUUUUGAUCAUUUUGCCCUCUCUAUUAAUGCUAUACCCCCUGAGAAUAUUUCAGAAAUUUAAAAGAGGUAAAUGUAGAUUUUUAAAAAUUUGAGAGGACUAGUAAAAAAAAAAAAUAUUUACAGAAAAAUUUUCUAUAAUUUAACUAAAAAUAUAUUUAUACAAGUCAACUUUUCUAUUUUAUAGACAUUCGAAACCAAAUAGUUUACAGCACAAAAGAGAGCCCAAAAUUAAUAUGGUCCAGUAAAAUAAGUUACAAACCUCGAAAUAAAAAGCCCAAUAACAAAAUAAAUCAACCCAAACCAAAUUUAGACAUUUCAGUUUAAACCUGUUUUGAAUUUUUUGUGACUUUUUGGUAAGCUCAGGUUUAAAUAUUUACAAAUUCUAAAUUUUUAGUUUUGGUUUGAGAAACCGCAAAGGGCCUUUAUGCAAAACUGAGAGUUACUAGGCGUUAACAUGAAAUUUUCACCUUAUCAAAAUAAACACUUUUAUUAUUUGUUCUCUGUGUAUAAAUUCUUGCAAAUCUUUUUGAAUGAAACUAAAGUUUUAAAAGCAACACAAAUGAUUACCAUAUUAACCAACUUUGUCAUCUUCUUAAUAUCUUAGUUUCUUCUAAUGAAGUAUUAACAUGAAUUAUAUAAAUUUUAUUACAAAUUUAAAAUUUUAAAAUUAUUUAAAUAAGUUGUUUUUUAUUUUUGGAUUAUGUUUGAUAUAACUGGUAAUCCUUAAUCACGUAAUGGUCUCUUUGUUUGGUGCUAAGUGAUAUUUCCGUUGAAAAUGACUUUCAGUUGAAUUGAGAUUCAGACGAAAAUUACAACUUUCACAGUAGCACGUGAGAAAAUUUUUAAAAAAUACAAUAGCUAAUGUUUUAUUUUAUUUUAUUUUAUUUUUUGUAAUUGACUUCGACACCAUUCAACGUGAAAGAGAGUUACGAUGUUUUGAAAAAUAGAGUUAUGGAUAAAUUUAAUUUAUGAUUAAUCAAACAAUAAAUCUAGGCAUUUGUGAUCGAAAAGAUCUUUUCUUUUCUCCACUCUUGCUGAAACAAACAUGUCUUAAAAGUUAAUUUUCCAUUUAUUUUGUGACUUUACUCACAAAUCUAAACAUUGGCUAUAUAUGUCACUAUGGGAGCUUCUUGUAAAAAGGUUUCUCUAUAAUAACUACUUUAUAUAAAAAUAACAACAUCUAAUUAAAUAUUUUAAAGUAUCAAUAAAAAUUUUAAUAUCAUUUUAAUUUAAAAUUAAUAAAUUGUUUGUAGUUUUUUCUAUUCAAAUUCAAAAUGUUAGCGGAGGAGUUUUUAGUCAAAAGAUAACAAAAANNNNNNNNNNNNNNNNNNNNNNNNNNNNNNNNNNNNNNNNNNNNNNNNNNNNNNNNNNNNNNNNNNNNNNNNNNNNNNNNNNNNNNNNNNNNNNNNNNNNNNNNNNNNNNNNNNNNNNNNNNNNNNNNNNNNNNNNNNNNNNNNNNNNNNNNNNNNNNNNNNNNNNNNNNNNNNNNNNNNNNNNNNNNNNNNNNNNNNNNNNNNNNNNNNNNNNNNNNNNNNNNNNNNNNNNNNNNNNNNNNNNNNNNNNNNNNNNNNNNNNNNNNNNNNNNNNNNNNNNNNNNNNNNNNNNNNNNNNNNNNNNNNNNNNNNNNNNNNNNNNNNNNNNNNNNNNNNNNNNNNNNNNNNNNNNNNNNNNNNNNNNNNNNNNNNNNNNNNNNNNNNNNNNNNNNNNNNNNNNNNNNNNNNNNNNNNNNNNNNNNNNNNNNNNNNNNNNNNNNNNNNNNNNNNNNNNNNNNNNNNNNNNNNNNNNNNNNNNNNNNNNNNNNNNNNNNNNNNNNNNNNNNNNNNNNNNNNNNNNNNNNNNNNNNNNNNNNNNNNNNNNNNNNNNNNNNNNNNNNNNNNNNNNNNNNNNNNNNNNNNNNNNNNNNNNNNNNNNNNNNNNNNNNNNNNNNNNNNNNNNNNNNNNNNNNNNNNNNNNNNNNNNNNNNNNNNNNAAGGCUAAAUUACAAAAAAAAAAAAAAAAAAUCACAUGCACUUUAGCCCAUUCUCAAUUAUAUCCCUAUAUUAAAAUUGUAUCAUUUACCUUAAUUUAAAAUGAUAUAAAAAGUUUGGAAUAAACUGUUUAACUUAACUAUAAAGCUUUAUAAAAAAUGAGUGAGAAAUAAAAAUUACUCGUAAAUUAAUGCAAUAGAAUUAUAUAAAUAAAUUAAAUUAUUCAAUAAGCUCUCAAUUUCAUGGUAUUAACAAAAUAGAAGAUCCUUUUAUCUAACUUUUUAUCUACGUUUUGAGUUACAAUUAGAGAUAAAUGUUGAAAUUGAAAAAAAAUAUGAUGUUAAGUAACUUUUUACAAUCUAAUUUUUAUGCGCAAAUUUUGAACCAAAGUAUCAUUUGUAGCCUUUUCGAGUUUCUUGCUCACAAAUGGAAAGCAUAAACCUUGCGCAGCAGAAAGCAUAAAGGGGGAGAAAUUAUUGCUUGCAUCUUUUAUUCAAAAUUAAGUAUAUCUUAAAUUAUUAUGUAAAAGGGUUAGUUCUUUGUUUGGAUAUUAGAGAUUGAAUUUGUGGUACUCUGAAAGGUUAUUUGCGUUAGUGUUUAUUAGCACUAAAGUGCGGAAGACAUGUAAAUGUUGAUAAAAACUUUCACUGAAUUAUAUGAAAUUGGCCUUUGACUUUCAUAAAUAGGAGGCAAAGUCGAGUUUGUGAAACUCACAAAUUUCUUGCUUCAUGACAUUUCUGUUUCAAAUAAUCCCUUAAUCCAAUUAGAAAUUUUAUUGGGAUUACAGAAAUAAUAAUGCCACUAUAUUUUAUUUAGAGUGAAUAUUAUUGAAUUGAGAUAUUGUUGCAAGGCCAAAUUACACUAUGUACAUUGAGAAAAUAGAAUUUACUUGUUUGUUUAGUAGGAGUAGCACCAAGUGCGUGUGUUGUAAUAAGUUAGUUAAUAUAUGUUUUUACGAUUUUAUCUGCAACGGAGAAGCAUAUUUCAAACUUAUUUUAUGAAAAAUGUGCCUGCAAGUAUGAAAGUAAUUAUGAAAUUUUAUGGAGAUAUUAGUCAUUUAUGAAUUGUAUUUUAAAUUUUAUAAAAUAGUAUCUUUUAAUUAUUAAUAUAUUAGUAAUUAUAUAAUAUUUUUCACAAUCAUGUGUAAACUUAUUAAAUUUUCCAUGACUAUAUAUGACUGCUAAAAAUUAUAUAGGGGUUUGGAAUAUUUUAAAGUGGUUCCUCACAAUAUUUUAAGGUUGUGAUCUUACAACUUGGCCCAUCUAAGGCAAUUGUAAGAAAAGUCCAUUAUUUUUUUUUGAACUAAAAACUCAAAAAGAGUUGGAUAAGACCCUUUUGGUCCAUUAGAUGGGGUGUUUAAAAAUUAAAAAACUCCAAGAUGUAGGUUUUGUUUUUCUUAUUUUAGUGUUAGAAGAUAGUAAUAAAUAUCUAAUUAAUUUAUAAAAAAAAUAUGACAUAUAUAUAAUUUACCAAGAUAAAUGCUAAAUCUGAAAAUCAAGAGUGUACACCAAUGUCUAGAAUUAUCCUAUAUUUAAUUUUUGGUGAUAAAAAAAAACUUUGAUAAGACUUCGUAGAAAUAGCAUGAUUCUGAAAUGAUCAAAUAGAUUUAAUUCUAAUACUACUCUUAUACUAAGACAGAACAAUAAUGUCUUAUUUCAAAAAACAAAACUAUCAAAAAGAUUUGAGUGGGUUUAUUUCGCUGAAGUUGAGAGAAGCACAUUUGUGAGUUUCAAACUGUACGCCUGAUCUUUCAAUUUUAACUAUGGUAUAGGAGAAAGGUCGCGUUUUACAUCAUACAGAAGUCAGGACCGAUGCUUACAGGUGUACACUUUCAAUGCUUUCCAUGUCUAUUCUUCGAAUUUAUCGAUCCUCCUCACAAUAUUCGCACUUGCAGUUCGGCAAGAUAAGAAAUUUCGGCGUCGGAGAUCGUGUAAACUAAACACUUUCUAAGAUACAUUUCCAAAAAAAAGGGCUAGCUAAUAAAACCGCUUACUUCAUAGGACAUAUGUUCAUUGUUCUAAAAUAGAAGACAAAAAGUUAAAGGCGAUUUCAAAAAGAAAAAUAUGAGAGGGGUUCCGAUACUAUUUUUUACGUAAGAGAUUCUCAAAAUCGACCUCAACCCGUACGGUCGCUCUCGUGCGCUCCUCCUUUUUCUUCGUCGAGUCUCCUCCACUUCGAGGCGAAGUCUCCCAAGUCCACCUCUCUCUCUCUCUCUCUCUCUCUCUCUCUCUCCUCUCCUCUCCCUCCUCCUCCUCCUCCUCUCCGCCAUGGGCGAGAGCUUCGAGCUCGAGCUCAGGAGCUCCGACCCCGUCAAGGAUCCGCGGACGAUCGCUAGGAAAGUAAGUGUUCCCUCCCACUCCACGAUUUUCUCCCUUUUUUUUGGUUUUGGUGAUUUUUGGAUUUUUUUGAUCGUGAUCGGAUCGGAUUUGAUCGGGGAUGGUGGGGUGGGGGGUAUGAAGGUACCAGUUGGAGCUGUUAAGAGGGCGGUGGAGAAGAACACGAUCGUGUACCUGGGCACGGGGUGUGGAAGACGCACAUCGCGGUGGCUGCUCAUGUACGCAGCUCCGCACUCAUUCGCAAGCGAGCAAGCAGGUCUGCGUCUUCCUCGCUCCCACGUCCCUCGUUCGACAGGUGCGUCACGCGAUUUCCCCCACCAUUUUUUGUGCUAGGAGGUCGCUCGAUAAUGGCGAUGUUUUGUGCAGGGUUAGUUAUGGGGCUUGUUUUAAAAGCUACCAUGUAGUGAGGGUUAUGGAACCUCACUUUGAUUAUUAUAGAGCAUAUGUAUUGUAGGGAGUUUACAUCGCUUUCACAUGGUUUCAGUAUUACUUUGUGCGAAAAUGGGAUUGGCAGUAGACGACUUGAUGCGGCAAGAAAAUCGCUAUUUGCUAGUUUUGCAUGUAUGAUGAAGGAAAAUUUGCAAGCAAUUCUGCGAGCGUAAUGAGUGUUAGAAAGUGAAAAAGGAAGCUUGGUGUGAAAGAUGGUCUAGAUGGCGUGAUUGAAAGUGGGCAAUCCUUCAUUAUUCUAGCAUUUUCUAAAUAUGUAUUUUCUGUUUAGUGGUUCUAAUACUUGAUAAUAUCUUUAAAUUUCAUCUUAGUCAUGCAUAUUAUUCAAUACAGAGCUUUAUCGUAGUUAACUGGAUCUCAUUAUUGAGAAGAAGUAACCUCUAUAUUUCUGCAGCAAGCCAUGGUAUUGAAAAUCACUGAUUUCAAAGUUCGGUGCUACCAUGGGCACAGUAAGAAUUUAAAGGACAUGAUGAUUGGGAACAUGGAGAUUGAACUAUCUGAGGUACGCAUGCUUUAGAUAUGAGCAAGUGCAAUAUUGUUUAAUACUGUAUCUUGUGAUAUUAAGUACGUUCAAAUUAUUAGUUGUGGAUAGCUAUUUAUUUGUUGGCAUGCAAAAUCAAGUUACUUCUAUUAUGGCAUUAGUAGCCGGAACAUAUUUAUAAAUGGAAAAAUUUCACUGAAUGCUUUUUUAAACUGCCGUUUUCUUUUCUCAUUAAAUCAAGCAAGCACCAUAAUUAUGCUUAGCUAUUAAUAGGUUUUCAACACCCAUGAUCUUUAGUUAUAAUCUCUAUGUUUUAUUGUGUUUACUUAUUGGUAGUAACAAUUAGCUAUAUCUGACUUUGUUUGAAAUGUAUGUUUAUUAUGAAUUUAGUACAAGCAGCAUAAUAAAUGAUAAAGGGAUUCUAAAGAGGGCUAAUCAGCAUAAAUGUAUGAUAAAGGAAUUCUAAAGGCGAAAAUUGAAGAAACAUUAGAUGCACAUGAAAGAAAACUUAUAACCAAUUUGAUUAGAGCAAUUUGCGAGUAGUAUAAAUAAAGGAAGUUAUAGCUUAUCAUGACUAAUUAUGUCAUAGAGAGGAAAUAUUGAAAAGUACUCAGGUUAGGCAGUUGAAUGUAAAAUGAGCAUGCUUGCGAAACCUCUAGAUGGCCGUUUGUUGAGAAAUGAGCAUGUUAUUGUAGUCUUUAGUUGGUUGUAUCGCAGAAUGGACAAGGAAGAUAUGACAUCGUUUUCUCUCGUCUAAAAUGCUAUAUGAUAAAGCAAAAUGAAUUUUUUUAAAAUCCUGCUUUCACUUGAUCCUGACGUAAUCCCCAAUCAGAUAGCUAAAAAUAUAAAUUGAUCCGCUUUAAGUCUUUAAUGCUCUCGAGCUCUAAUUGAAAAGUUUAUAAUAUGCUCUCCAAAGUCUGGGAAAUUCUAGAGCAGUAAAAUGCGGAUUUUAAAAAUUGUUUUGUUUUUCCGUUCCACAAUAGUUGAAAUGUUGAACCAAAUAUUAUGGGUGCUUGUUUCAUUGUAGUUGAACAGAACUUGAAUGGCAUGGAUUUUAAUGAUAAUGAAAUUGAAGCUUUGAUAUCAAGGAGUUAAAGUGCCUAUUGCACGGACUAUUAUCCACCGUGCAAAAAAUAUCAGUUAUGCUAUAUGUUCUCGUGUCGAUGCACAACUCAAAAACUUUUUUAAAUUAGUAAGUAAUUUUCUCAAUAAAGUUCAAAGAUUUGAUAAAAUACAUAAUAAGUAAUUAGAAUAUUUUUGUUGCUCAAGAAAAAUAAUAUUUCAUAUUUUCAUGCCAUAAUGUGUUGGCACAUAUGUAUUUUUUGUGAUUUGCACGCCUCGGUACGGCCCAGCAUGACCAGAUCGUUCGUGCGGCGUCGUUUCUGCACGACGCCUGUGCUAGACACUUAAAUCCUUGCUUGAUAUAUGGCAUUUAGUUUGCUUUGCAUAUUAAACCAGAAUGAUUGGCUAGCUUUGGUCCUAUUCGUUUGGAUUGUUCGAGGUGGAUCUGGUGGGAUGAACUGCUUUCGAUCUCAUCUAAUUUGACUUGAUUAGACCGUAUUAUCAUUGAUUGAACCAUUCAAAUCUACUUUAGUUGUGACUAGCUUUGGGUGUUGUUGCCAGCUUUGAUGAGACCAGAACACCAGAGAUUUCCACUUGUUCACUGGAGUGCAAGUGAAUAUUCCCCUUUUUCUGAAAUAUGUUUUAUUGGAGAUUGCAUAUAUUACUCGCACAAUUACGCCAAACAAAAGAUGGCACUCCUCACAUAAGCUCCAGUUUUAAGCCUGAAUUUCAAUCAAUAAUAAGUCCUUGUGUCAGAGCUGAAUGAUGCCUAUAGACAUUCUUUCAGCUACUGCCAGUUUGUCAUCAUUUUAUUCUAUGUGUUAUUCAUAUCAUGCUUAGAAAAACGUCCACUGUAUUUGUGCUUAUGGGUGCAUAAAUUUUGCUCCAGAAAGUUCAUACUGAAUAAUUUGUAUAUCUUUUCCUGAAAUGGUGUUCUUGAAAGGAACAAAGUGUGAUAGAACAAGAAUGGUAUGCUGGAGACAUUAGAUUAUUCGUGACACUAGAUUUUCAAUCUCCGUUAGUAGAAUUGAAGUUUCUCACUUGCUUGAAAGAAUUAUCUCGUCAUCGUGAUGAUAGACCUGAAUGACUAAAUGACUACACUUUGGAACUUGAAUGUCGAUACCUAUGUAAUCAUGGAUUCAUGAACAUUGAUGGUGAAGGAGGUCUGUUCAAUUAUGUGUGGCAGAUGGUUAUAGGCUUACGUUUCCAAUUGUCUCUUACUAUUUUGUGUAGUAACAGCCUAUUGCCUUUUCUGUUGGUAUGUUGGCAGAUUGACAUUUCUUUACCCCACAGGUGCUUGUUAUGACCCCACAAAUAUUGCUAAUAAUUUGAGGCAUUUGUUUUAUCAGGAUGGAUUUGAUUGUGCUUCUUAUUUUUGACGAGGUUCAUCAUGCACAGGCGCAGACGAGGCAUCCAUAUGCACAAAUAAUUGAAAGUAUUUUGUACAAAAUCCAAAUAAAGAACAGACAUUGACAAAAUACCCUACGGUGCUUAAUAUCUUUCUUGUAAAAAUUUAGAUGAAGGACAGAUUCAUAUUGAGAAAUGCAAUAUUUUUUGUCAUAGAAUUCUCUUUAAUAACUUUUCAGGAAUUUUAUAAACCAAUGGCAUGAAAGUUCCUGUAUAUUUGGAUGACUGCAUCACCUAUCAUUGGAAAAGUAACGAAAGGCUGUGGCAGUGUCUAACCUCUUGUUGAGAGUCUGUUGUUUUUCUUGUCUAUAAACUGUCAUGCUCUAUGUUUUGAAUUUUAUAAGGUAUUGACCUAUUUUAAUUUAUCAUUAAUCAAUUUGAGUUUUUAAUACCAUUCAUUAACCAUUUCUCUUAUAUGUCAGUAUAUAAUAUGACAGAAUUUAUAUAAAUCAUGGCUUUAAAGCUUAAUGAUUGGUUUAGCCAGUUAAUGUGGUUCACCUUUCUUUUUCAAGCUUAAAUUCUACGCUUAUGCCUUAUGCCCUUUCCUACAAGGAGAACAAAGAGGGGACAGAGGUAUGUCAACCUUGUUGAUCUAGGUCAUGAAGUUUGCAAAUUCAAUUUAGUUCUUACAUAGGAUGAGAAGAAAAUGUUGCUUUAUUCUGUUGCAUUGUCUAGCUGCUAUUUGUUUGGUUGUUCUUUUUAAUGCUUUACUGCUGUUAACUUGUAUAUUUCACUAUUCAUUUAUCACUCGAGGUUGAUUUUCCCUUUUCUCUAAUUGGAUGAAUCUAAAUUUGAAGGCAUAGCAUUUACACCAUUUUCUAAUAGCUUUGGCAUUAUCUGUUGAAACAUAAAUUGCAAGUAUCUUUGCUAUAUAUUUGUUUUGUCCAGACUCUGAUUGCUUUGCUAGCUUUUGUUGCAUUUCUUUCUUUUUUUUUGUCUUCAAAUUUGGGUUUUUUUUACUCCAUUAUUCAUUUUGUGGUAUUAUGCUUCCCAGGUGGUCCAACCAAUUGACUUACACAAAUGCAUCAAUAGUCUUGAGAGUUUGCUUCAUGGUGAGGUUUGAAUUAAAUGCCAAAUAAGUGAAAACAUUGGUUAGGGAUGAAGAUUUUGAGGUUAUAUAUGUUUUGUAUUUUAAAGUUCCAUGAAAUUCUCUUAUCAUUGUGUAGGUCUGCACAGUUGAUAAUCUUGAACUUGAAAGUAUAAUUGCUUCUCCAGAUCUUGAGGUACUCUUAUGGCCCAUUGUUCAUAUCUUCUCGAGUCUUAUUGUUACUUGCAGUGAGAAACUUGAGAACUGAAAGUCCAGGUUGUUUCCUUGUUUAUAUGUCUAAGGAUGAGCUGUAUUUCUCUUCCCAGCCAGGAAUAGCAUAUUUAUGUGUUUAUUUAUGAUCCAAGCAGUGCAUGUCCCUGCUAAGGGAGAAUUUAUGUGAUUUCAAGGAUCCAACAAGAAAAUGAAGUUUCUUUGUUGGGUUGCACGACAAUCUGUUGUUCUGUUUGCAAAGUGUUGGUCUUUGCGGGGCUCUUCAAGUGAGUGAUAUUUGAUAUUGCAAUUGUUUUCAUAUUUGGAAGCUCUUAUACAUAGCAAUGCUUACUUUUACGGAGCAAGGGUAGCAUUUUAUUCCAUUGAAGAAAACCUAAGGCGCUUAAAGUUGCGGGUUAAUUAUUGUUGUUUUUUCUAGAUUUUCUCAUUUGUUAUUUUUGAGUUUCAUUUGUUGCGGAAUUAUUAUAUAUUUGCUUCCUGAGAGUUCAUAUUAGAUUGCUUGCUGUGGUGGAGUAUAUUGCAGAUUUUCUGAAAUAAUUUACUAUUCUAUUUAUCUGUGACCUAUACUUAACCACUGACUUUUUUCUUGUUAAACAAACAUCAAUUAUGAAUCAUGCUUCAGUAAUGAAAUCAGUCACUCACUACAAUUUGGCUUCACUUUCAUUUGUGUUGAGAACAUUAUCUUAUAUAUUCUAUAUGAUUGUGCUGUCCAUAAUUGUUGUCUGCUGGUAUCUGCUUGUAACAAUUAUGCAUGUUUUAGGUUUUGUACAUAUGUGCUAUUCAAUGUUUUUUUGGUCAUGUAUAGUUCUCUCCAUGGGAAAGCUGGCCCCUUUUUGGUCCCUUGUUUUGAUUAAAAGUUUAAAGCCAUCUUUAUCCUCCUGCUACUAUGCUUUCAUUGGUUUUGUGUAAAUUCUUAACAAAAGAUGCUCAUGGAGUAAGAAGCUAAGGCUCCCACUGAAGAUCGCUGUGAGUGUUGUAAAUCUAGUUAUAUCCUUUUUUAUGUAAAUAAAACUUGGAGGAGGUGAGGUCAUGCGGUUGCAGAAUGGAGAAGGGAGGAAGAUAGGGUUCAAUAUAACAAAAGGUGAACAAAAUUUAUAGAGAGGAGGAUUGCCUUUGCCGCCCCAUUUUGCCUGUGUCGUACCAUGCAAGGCCAUUCGGCAUGUGGCAUGGGUCAUGCCAAUACUGUAUUGACAAAAUAGCUUUUGUUGCAUUUUUGGGAACUUUUUGAGUUUUUUUGAUGUAAAAGUUUUACAAAAGUUUUUUUUUAUACUUAAAUAUAUAGAUGUAAAUCAACUAACGUUUGGAGCAAUUAGUAAGUUUUCUUGCAUAAUAAGACUAACUUUUAGUGUGAAAAAAUAAGAAGAUUUCCUCCAAUUUUUUUACAUUUUAUAUCUAGUGAAUCUACGCAUGGUAGUGUUUUCCUAUAAUUUUUAUCUAAUUAUGACUUUGGUUUUGGUUUUAUGCAUGUAUUUUCAUAAUAUAUAUAAAUGAUUCUUUUAGUUUUUAAGAUGUUUAUGAUUAUAUUCUUAGAAAUUAUGUAAGAUAAAUGCAUAAAUAUUUUUAUAUCCAUAAGACAUAUUAAAAUACUCUAAACAACUAAUUUUUCUUAAAAUUAAUAAAAAAGCGGUGACCGAAGUGAACAAUAUUUUUUAUAGAGUGAACAAAAUUUAUAGAGAGGGUAGGAUUGCUUUUGUCGCCCCAUUCUGCCUGUGUCGUACCAUGCAAGGCCAUUCCGGCAUGUGGCAUGUGUCAUGCAAUACUAUAUGACAAAAUAGCUUUUGUUGCAUUUUUUGGGAAUCUUUUGAGUUUUUUUGAUGUAGAAGUUCUACAAAGUUUUUUUCAUACUUAAAAUAUAUAGAUGUAAAUCAACUAACAUUUGGAGCAAUUAGUAAGUUUUCUUGCAUAAUAAGACUAACUUUUAGUGAAAAAAAAAAGAGUAGAUUUCUCCAAUUUCUUUACAUUUUAUAUCUAGUGAAUCUACACAUGGUAGUGUUUUCCUAUAAAUUUUUUUCUAAUUAUGACUUUGGUUUUGGUUUUAUGCAUGUAUUUUCUAAUAUAUAUAAAAUGAUUUGUUUUAGUUUUAAGAUGUUUAUGAUUAUAUUCUUAGAAAUUAUGUAAGAUAAAUGCAUAAAAUAUUUGUAUAUCCAUAAGACAUAUUAAAAUACUCUAAACAACUAAUUUUCUUAAAAAUAAUAAAAAAAGCGCGACGAAGUGAACAAUAUGUCAAUAACAUGCCUUAGUUUUUUUUUUUUUUUUUUUUUUUUUUUUUUUUUUUUUUAUGGGGGAGGGGGGGGGGGCAUUGUCGUGCCAACUUGGGCACGCCAUGUGUGCUGUGGUAAGUGGCACGGGGCUUACCAAUGGCACUGCAAUCCCUGAUAGAAAGCAUGGCAAGCUAUUGAGCACAAAUACUUCAAAUUUCAUGCCGUAUCCGUAAUCGAAUACGAUACACGCCUGAUACGUGCCGACUUGGGCACACCAUGUGUCGCUGGCAAGUGGCAUGCGGCUGUACCAAUGGCACUGCAAUCCCUGAUAGAAAGCAUGGCAAGCUAUGAAGCACGGAUACUUCAAAUUUCAUGCCGUAUCCGUAUCAAAUACGAUACACGCCUGAUACGUGUCCGAUACGGAAAUGAAGUAUCUGGCAUUUUUAAAAAAUAAAAAAAUAUCGGAUACGGCUCGGAUACGUGAGGGAUGCGGGGGGAUACGGGGGGGACACGACCAGGUUCUUUUCUGGUCUAAAAUGAUCGAAACUUAAAAUUUUUUUAAAAGCUCACGUCCAAACCUAUUGGAAAGAAGGAAAAGAGUGAGAAAAAUGCCAAUAUCUGUUCAAUUUGUCAUUUCAUUUAUCUUUUUGCUCUUGAAUGGUAGAAGACUCUCCCUCUCGUUCUAUCUUCACACAGUAUUUACUCUCUUUCAUCUAAUUUGUCAACCUAGCAUUAAACAAUAAAGGCUAUAGAAAAUAUGAUUUUUUUUCCUUCUCUAUUAAAUUAUUAGCAAGUUGAAUGAUAGUUGGUUUGAUACUUUUUGAAUUAUUAUUUUAUAUGAUUGAUUAUCUUUUUUUAUGAACCUAUGUAAAACAAUUAUACAAUUUAAUGCAUAUUAGAAUAUAUUCCUUAAUAUAGUCCAGAUAUCCUGAUUGUUCUCAAUAUAUCAUUACAUAUAAUCAACAUAUAUUUAAAUAUAUUUAAAAUAAUAUUUUAUUCAAGUAUAUCCCGCAUAUCGUAUCCUAAAAGUUUUAGAAAUUGCCGUAUCACCGUAUCCGUAUCGUGUCGUAUCCGUAUCCCCAUAUCCGUAUCUGUACAACAUAGAUGGCAAGUUAGAUAGGCCUUGAAGCUGGGUUGCAUAAUCCACCUAGAAGCCUUAUUCCAAUAUCAUGGCAAUUGAGGAUAGGCUAUGAAUUGCAAUCUUUUGCAUGUUAGAUCUGAUGUAUGGCUAUAAUGUCCUUUUUUUGUGUUUCUUACUAUCAUACUAGAGAGAAUUCUCUUAGUACAUUUUCAUUCCUGUAUACAUAUGUCAGCCGGACAGUGUAUUACAUACUCUAUUUGCAUUGUCUAUCUGGUUUUUUUCUUUGUUGCCCUAUAUAAGAUGAUCAACAUGUGAGUAUAAAUUAUCUGUUCAGAUUUAACAAUAGACUGUAACUUGGAUAACUUUUAUUUUUUCGACGAGCAUAAAAAUUAUAACUUUCUUUUUUUUCCUUCUUUUAUUUGUGUUAAAAGGCUGCACGAGUGCUCUUAGCUUCUGAUGGUGCUGACCUGAGUGAAAUGGAGACAGAGGCCAAUUACAGUAACAAGUGCCUUACAGAUCAGUACUUGAAGGAGGCAAUCUCAAUUCUAGGCUGUAAUUUCGAUGGUAUGGUCGGGUAUAUUUAAGGAAAGUCAUAUUGUUUCUGUGUUUUCUGUUUUGUUCUCUUUCUUAUUCAAGUUAAGGAUUUUUGCAUUUCCAAGCAAUUCAGAAACUAAAUGAUAUUUUGUCAUUUAAUAAAUUUCAUUUACUCAGUGUACUUCUUUAUAUGUAAGAAAGAUUGGAAUGAUGCUGCUUACUAGAAUGAUGCUUAACUACCCUGUACCCAUCAGUACUAGAGCAAUCCAAUUGAAAAGCUUUCUCUUUAUUCUGCGCUUUCGUCCCUCUUAUCUCUUCUUACCUCAUACCUUCCUUCUCAUCUUCCACCCUCUUUUCUGCAUGGAAAUAUCUGUGGGCUAAUAAAGAAUGUUGAGUUUAGGAAUUUUAGACUCUUAGCAACUUGGUUACCGUGUUUUAGAACGAUUUUAUUUUUUUCUUUUUUGCACAACAGGCCAAAUCCUACCUACACUUUGCCCCAUUUGCAGAUAGCCACGUUAAGUCAAGCACAAGCACUUGAACUUUCAAUCUGUUGCAAAGACUCCCUUUUACUGUCUUACGAAGGAUAUUUGCAGUUAGAUUUGUGUUGUUAACUUGGGCACCUCUUUGUAAAGAGAAUUUAGAGAUAGGAGGGCAAUACACUUGAGUUUGAACUGAAUUGUUUGGAUUUACUGGUAUUGUAGAUGAAACUACUGCUGAUUUCAGUACUCUAGAGACUGUGAAAGAGCCUUUCUUCUCAAAGAAAUUGUCAGUUCUUAUUGAGGUUCUCACAAGAUACAGGUUUGUUCACAUGCUGCUCUCAUUUUUUUAGAUUAUCUUUUAAAAUUAUAUGUUAUUUUUCAUAGUAUCCUUGCACACUAUAUUGAUGUCUCCUGCUCUGUAUUCCAUGCUGUUAUUUAUAUUUGACUACAAUUUUUUCUUAAGUUUUUGUACAUGAAUCCUCUUAUGCAAAUUGUAUCAUGGGCAAUCGAGAUUCAUGGCAUGUGCCAAAAAGAGAACUUAUGGGGACUUCAUGUUAGUGACAUGUUCAUGAAAUAAAAAAUUGGUCGGUGUAGUAAUUUAAUUAGGCUAUAUUUUAAAGUAUGCUGUUUUCUUUCAUCUAUUUCACUACUGCGAUAAUCAUACCUUAUAUACUCAUCUUUCUAGGCACAUUCAUCAUGCUCGUCCAUGUGCUUGUAUAUGCAUGCUUGUCUUAUCAGGACAUUCAGAACCACAAAAUUUCUGCUUAAUAAUGAUUCAGCAACAGUUAUGAUGUUAACAACUUUGUACUCACCUAACUAAAUCCAAAUGGAAGCUGUUUAUCUUACUUUUGCACUCACCUAACUAAAUCCAAACGGAAGCUGUUUACCUUACUUUGUAUUCACCUAACUAAAUCCAAAUGGAAGCUGUUUAUCUGCAAAGAUGUUAGAUAGGAUCUCACAGUAUGAUACAGUGCUAAUGCCAUGCACAUUACUCAGUUGGCAAAAACUCAAUCUGAAAGUCAAGCUUCAAUUGUUACCUUCACCGUCAAUGAAUGCCAUGGCUUUAUUUUCUUGACAGACUACAGGAAGGCAUGAAAUGUAUUAUAUUCGUGAAAAGAACCAUCAUUGCAAGAACGUUAGCAUACAUACUUGGAAAUAUGAAGUCUCUCAGUUUUUGGAAAUGUGAAUUUCUUGUGGGAUAUCACUCUGGAUUGAAGAAUAUGUCGCGAAAAAAGAUGAAUGCCGUUGUUGAAAAAUUUUGUUCUGGAGAGGUAUGACUAGGCAUUCUCUUUAUUCAAAUAUUUGAGUGAGCAAACCUUCUAUACUUAUUUCUUUUGGAGAGGUGUGACUAGGCAAUCUCCUUAAAUAUUAUUGAGUGAGCAAACCUUCUAUACUUCUUUGAGUAUUUUUCUUUUUUUUUUUUCCGUUUCAUAAAUGUGUAUGUAUGUGUGUGGGUGUACGUGUGUGUGUGCGAGCGCGCGCGUCUGUGUGUUUAGAAUAGAAGCAAGCAGUUUGAAUUCAAAUCUUGAAGCUUUAUAGCUGAACUUCUAGUUUGUGUGUGAGUAGGCUUUCAACCGUAGAGUUAAGAUGUGUCAUGUGUGUAUGUGCGUGUUUGUGUAGGAGUUUCGGUUGGAAGCAAGCAGCUUGAAUUCAAAUCCUGGAGAGUAUUCGACCAUCAAGUUAAAAUGUGUGUGCAUGUGCGUGCACAUAUGAGUUUCGGUUAGAGGCAAGCAGUUUGAAUUCAAAUGCUUGAGCUUUAUGGCUGGAACUUUAGUUUGUGUGUAAAUGCUGGAGAUUUAUUUCUAAUUAUAAUCUGAUUGAUGGUUUGAAUUUUGUUGAGUUUGCAGGUUAAUCUGCUGGUUGCUACUAAUGUCGCUGAAGAAGGGCUUGAUAUUCAAACCUGUUGCCUUGUUGUGCGGUUUGAUCUUCCACAAACUGUUGCUAGCUUUAUACAGUCUCGAGGCCGUGCUCGAAUGAUGAAAUCUAAAUACAUAUUUCUAGUGGAGAGGUGUUUUCUUUUGUGAAUGCCAUCUGCAUGCUUAAGCAUUCUGUGUUUAUUCUUAUUAGUAUCUUUACGUUCUUUGUUUGUUAUCUCAAUCUCACAGGGGGAAUCAGCAAGACGAGAAAUUACUUGAUGAUUUUAUAAUUGGCGAAACUAUCAUGAGUAAGGAGGUACUUGAUCGGUCAUCAGAUGAUACAUUCAAUAAUUUGGAGGAGAUUAUUUACAAGGUAACUAGUACGGGUGCUUCCAUUAGCACUGGCUGUAGUGUGUCACUUCUCCAUUAUUACUGCAGCAAACUUCCUCGAGAUAUGUAAGUAAUGACUGCCAUUUUUACAUUUUGGUGGCAUUAUUUGCUCUGUGAAAUAUUAUUCAGUUUUAAACUUCCGAAUAUGACUAAUAAUAUCAUGUUUCUUUGCAGGUAUUUCGCACCUUCCCUAAAGUUUUUUUACAUAGAUGACAGUAAUGGCAUCAUUUGCAGAAUGAUUCUUCCACCAAACGCUCCAUUUCGUCAAGUUGAGAGUCUACCAUGUGCAUCAAAAGAUGAAGCUAAGAGAAAUGCGUGUCUACAAGCAUGUAAGGAACUUCAUGAAAAGGGUGCUUUAACUGAUUAUCUUUUGCCUGGUCUAAGUUCCGGGAAAAAGAAUGGAUCAACUGCACAUCAUUCUGGAUGCAACAGCAAUGAAGGUUGGCUUUUAUGUGGACUUGAGCCAUUCAAACUUUUGUGUUGAAUUAUUUGUCAGGUUACAAAUAAUCAAUUCAUUGUUUUUAUGCUUCAGAUGAAAAUCUAAGAGAACUUUACGAGAUGUUAGUUCCUUCUGUUCUCAAAGCAUCACGGUCCAAUUUUGAUAGUCAGAUAAAUAUGUAUUUCUACUAUAUUAGACUUGUACCAAUACCAGAGGAUAGACAAUAUCGGAUGUUUGGUCUCUUUGUCAUGUCUCCUCUUCCUAAAGAGGCCGAAAAGUUGGAAGUUGAUUUACAUCUUGCUCAUGGUAGAAUCGUGGAAGCAGGAAUUGAACCAAAGGGAAUGUUGACAUUUUGCAAAGAAGAGGUUAAAAAAAAAAGCCUUUUACUGUAUUUUAUAUUUUAUAUGCAUAUGGGAUAGUUCAUUUAUGAUACUUAUCUUCUAGUCUAACAUUAUCUUCUAACUGUGCACAGAUUGUGCUUGGGCAAUAUUUUCAAGAAAUGUGCCUGAAGAUUAUCCUUGACAGAGCAGAGUUUUAUUGUGAUCAUGUUUCCUUGGGCAAAUUCCAUGCAUCUGAACAUUGUUUCUCAACUUUCUAUUUACUACUUCCAGUCAAGCAGCAAAAUUGUGGGGACAAGAUAAUUGUUGAUUGGGAAACUAUAAGAUGCUGUUUAUCAUCACCUGUUUUUGGACGUAUUACAGAUUUAGAUUGGAAAGAUCCUUAUCCGAUAAGUGAUUCUUUGAAACUUCUUAAUGGAACAGUCAGUAAACACAAUGUCCUUAACAGCUUAGUUUUCACUCCGCACAACAAACUUUUUUUCUUGAUUGAUGACGUUAUACAUGGAACAAAUGCCAACAGCCAGUAUAAGAGUGUGAGCUAUGCACAACACUACCAGGACAGGUAAAUGUUGUCGAUCUACUGUAUCUAUGCAUUUGUCAUAAUCUACUUUUUAGAUACAAAUAUUAGGUCCAUGCAGUUUAUGUGUAGCAUAAAUUUCUUCCUGGAUAAGAAUAUCUACAGAAUGCUUCUAUCAUCUUGUUUCUAUAACUCAACAAGAAGGGAAGUUGAUGGCUACAUCAUGUGCAGAAAUAGUGACACUUAAAAUGGAGAAGUGACUCCACUACUCUAGUGUGUUGUGUUAUUGUCUUUGAUUUCCCUUGAGACAUCAACAAAUAGAAUUGAUUAGUAAUCAUAAAAUGAUCUCUAUAUGGAAAUGAAAGAUCAGAGGAAUAAAAUGAAGGGAUUCAGAAGGCAACUUCCAAAAUAGAUAAAAGGACUUAUAUGAUGAUACAUUGUAUAACAGACAUUCAUUUUUUUUACGAGCACAAAUUUGUAUGUUUAAUUUCUAAGCUACUCUUUUUCUUGACUUUACCAAAUGAUUUAUUCCAAAUUGACCAUCAAGUGUACGAAGUCCUACUUGUACUUGUACCGACUUUUGGACAUUUAAACAAAGCGGGGAUAACUUUGAUGAACUAAGUAUUUUGAUUGACUGCUAGUUUCAAAAAACUGUUGUGCUGCCCCUACUUGAAUGUUUCUUGGCCUAUGAAUUGUCUUUGUAAUUUUGAGGGAAUUUUCACUUAUCAUAUUUGGGUUGUUUAUUUGAUUCUUGACCAUAAGAAUGAAAUGCUACUUUGUUUUUGUAACUUGGUUUAUAGUGGCUUAAUAUUUUACAAAUUGGCACUCUGAAAAUCAGGUUUAAUAUUCAGUUAUCCCAUCCAGAGCAACCUCUUCUAAAGGCCAAGCCGCUAUUUAAUUUACAUAAUUUGCUCCAUAACCGUUUACAAGGGAAUACAGGUGAUCUUCCCUGCUAUUUUACUAAUGCAGUUUUUUGUUUUGUUUUGUUUUUGUUUUUUGUUUUCCCCCUGAAAAAUGUCAUACAACUUGUUACUGUUUAUUCACUAUCUUAAAACUUAUCUUUGGAUUACUUCAAUUUACUUUUACAAUCACAACACGAAAUCAUAAAGAGAUGCUCAGAUGUGACAGUUCCUGAUUUGAUAUGCUAGCAACGAAAAAAGUAGUAACAUUGAAGUUUGCUUAUCAUAUGAAUGAUGAAUUUUGCAAUGGUGUAAUUGAUAUAUUGUAAUUGAAAACUGGAAGAUUAACCUAAGUUGCAUCUGGGAUUCAGUUGUACCUAUGUCAGAUGUAUACUUUGUUUUUGGUUGAAAUUUUACUUCUUAUAAUAUUUGUUAUUAUCUUAAUUGUUAUGUUAACUAUAUGCCUGAAAAAUCAGAGUCGCACGAGUUGUUGGAGCACUUUGUGGAGCUACCCCCAGAAUUGUGUUGCUUGAAAAUAGUUGGUUUUUCAAAAGAUAUUGGCAGUUCUCUUUCUCUGUUGCCCUCUUUGAUGCAUCGGCUGGAGAAUUUACUUGUAGCUAUCGAGUUGAAGGAAGUCUUGGCAUCCUCAUUCCCAGAAGCUUCUGAAAUUAGGGCUGACUGUGUAAGUCAUUAGUUUCCAUAUAAGCAUCAUAAGUUCAUACAGACAGAUCAGUUGUUGUCACAGACGUGUAGUUGUUUACACUCUUCAAUCCUCAUUCUUUAAGCAAGAAAAAUACAUUUCAGAUUCUAGAAGCACUCACGACAGAGAAAUGUUUGGAAAGGCUUUCUCUGGAAAGGUUUGAAGUGCUUGGUGAUGCUUUCUUGAAGUAUGCAGUUGGCCGUCAUUGUUUUGUUUCAUUUCAAGGACUAGACGAGGGUCAAUUGACCAGGAUGCGUUCUGCCAUAGUAAAUAAUUCAAAUCUCUGCGAACUAGCAAUUAAAAAAAAUUUGCAGGUACGUUACUUCAGAUGAUUAUCUUCUCCUUUUUUAUGAUUGUAUUUUUCCUUUUUUUUUUUUUAUUUUGUGGACUAUGAGACUAUCUCUAGUCACUAUACCUUGUGAGGUAAAUUUCUUCGAUGGCUUUCAGAUAGUUGUCAGUGGUUUCAAUUUUACUUGUGCUGCUAAUAUUGUACAAUUUCUCCUUUGGGAGUUCCCACAGGAAAAUCAAAUAUCAGAAUGUCAAAUUCACAAUGAUUAUAGAAACUAGAAAGUAUGAUGGCAAAAUAUAAUAUAGCAAAAUUUUGUUUUUUUUUGUGUUGUGUAGCAAAUUGGAUGAGCAGCGAGGAUUUUCACCUGUUAUGAGGAUCUCAAUUUGUUCUUAUCAAAAUAUUGCCUUUUGACUAUUUAAGCAUCAUCUUUGAUGCAUUUCUGGUUUAUCCUAAACUGUUGUAUGUGGGUUGGGGCAGUCACGUUUUAACCUUAAUUUCCACUGGCCUGACCUUUUUGGCUUGACCAUUUUGGCCAGCUUUCUGCUUUUGGAAGUGUCGUUUCAGAUAUGCAUAUUGCUCUUUGAGAAUGUUGUCUUCCUGCUUGUGAGAGUAUUCUAGCAUGUUGAAUCAAAGAUUCUAGCAUGUUGAAUCAAAGAAGCUAUCUUCUAAAAAUUUUCCCAUGUCAAUGUUCUGUAAUACAUCAAGGGAUAGAUCAAAGUGCUAUAUCUAUCUGAAGUACUUCUCUCUCUUCAAUUUACAGGUGUACAUACGUGAUCAGCCAUUUGACCCUACCCUCUUCUUUGCAUUAGGCCGUCCUUGUAAUGUUGUUUGUAAUGCGGAUACAGAAUCGAGCAUACAUCAAAUGGGAACUGAUUCUGGGUCAGAUAGACCAGAAUCUGGUAGUGUGAGAUGCACCAAAUCCCAUAAUUGGCUACACAGGAAAACCAUUGCAGACGUUGUGGAAGCUCUUGUUGGAGCAUUUCUUGUCGAGAGUGGGUUUAAAGCUGCAUUUGCUUUCCUUCGGUGGCUCGGUAUACCUGUUCAUUUUGAUCUUCCAGAUGUUUAUAGAGUAUACAAAUCAAGCAACAACAACUUGUCACUCUGUGAUGUUAUCAGUGUUGCUAAGCUUGAGGAAUUGAUAGGCUAUACAUUUAAGUACAAAGGACUUAUUCUGCAAGCACUUGUUCACGCUUCCUAUAGUAAUCAUCCUGGAGGAUGCUACCAGGUUAGUAUUGCAGAAAAAUGUCGAGAGUAAGUCAAAUCAUUUCUCUGUUUUCCUCAAAAGUUGGCAAAUGGCAAAAUAAUUUGAACUGAUACAGCUUGUACUGCUACUUGCCUUUUGAACAGAAGCUGGAGUUUCUUGGCGAUGCAGUCUUGGAAUACUUGAUUACAUCAUACCUCUACUCAGCUUAUCCAGAUUUAAAGCCUGGUCAAAUAACGGAUUUAAGGUCAAUAUCUGUAAACAAUUAUUCCUUUGCACAUAUAGCAGUCUGGAAUUCGCUGCACAAGUUUCUUGUAAAGGAUUCUAACAGUCUUACUGAGGCAGUAAACCAGUUUGAGAAAUAUGUCCAGCUAUCUGAGCCAGAAAAGGACAUGCUGGAAGAACCUGCAUGUCCAAAGGUAUGUACUAUGUAAACUCCGUAGACCUAUGCUGCAUUUAUUGGUAGGUGCGUUAGUUCAUUGAGAAACUGGAUGAUUCUAACCAGUGUCUGUUAUGUGGAAAGUACCUUUCUUUUUCAUGAAUAUUCAUGUCAAAAAUCUUUUCCUCACUUAACUUUGUUGACUUGACAAUCUUUUGUAUUAAUUUUAUAACCAGCAGCCUUUCUGAUUCUCUGAUGAGCAUUCACUGGCUAAGAUUGUCAUACCUUGCCACAGCAAGUAAAUCCAUGGUUAUAGUUUUUAAUCUAAGAUAGCUAUUUCUAAUGAAACUAGCAACUUCAAUUAGAUAUUCUUUGGGCAGUAAUUACGUGUCAGCAGGAACUUGCCGACUAAGACUGAGCUUGUGACCGAGGUUAUUUUGCUAUGAACACAUAGAAUGUGCUUAAUAGGCUUGAGGAAAGAUCCCAAGCAAUCUAUACUCGCUACAAGGAAGGUAUAGUAGGAUAGAUUGUGGGACUUGAUUGCAAUAAUUUUGAAAGUACGAACCAGAAAUUACAACUUAAAGUUUGAGGACUAAAGUGUCACGUGCCUCAUAUUUUGAGGACCAAACGUGCAAUUUACCCUUCUUAAUAUUUAUAGUAGCUAAAUUGCAUAUGCACCAGUAUGUGCACCCGCAGUAUGCAGUAUGUGGACCGCCCACAUACCACAUAGCACUUUCUAAAACAUUGUAAGUAACUAUUUGCUAUAAUUGAUCAAUUUGCUUAGAGAAGUUAGACAUUUCUUUCAAAUUUCAUGACAGCAAAAUGUGCAUUAAUAGUGGAAUUGAAUUUUUUGUACCGCUUCUAUUUUAAGCUCUAAGCAUGUUGAGUUUGUGAUAUUUACUAGUGAACUAUGGUCUCAGAUGACUUCUAAAGCUUGCAAUCUGUAUUCUAUACCAAUUUUCUUGAAUGAUUGCAUGCUAUCAGUUAUUCGCUUCCCUAUUUUGUUGUUUCUAGUUUGUUGCCUUCAAAGUCUUUUGAACUGUAUUACACACACAGGUACUUGGGGACAUUGUGGAAUCUUGUGUUGGUGCUGUACUUCUGGACACUGGAUUCGAUCUAAAUCAAGUUUGGAAGUUAAUGCUUAUGCUUUUGGGACCAGUCUUGAACUUCACUAGCUUGCAGCUUCAUGCUGUUAGAGAAUUGCGAGAGUUUUGUGAGAGUUCUGGGUUACCACUGGGUCUUCCUGAUCCAGUAAAAGAGAAGGGGCUUUACUUUGUCAAGGUCGAAGUUGGUUUAAAAGAUCACACUUUGACUUGCAUGGCAACUAACAAAAACUCAAAAGCUGCUAGAAAAAUGGCUGCACAAGAAGCACUUUCUAAAUUGAAGGUAAGGCAAGUGUAGUCUUUCUGUUAUGAAAGUAUUGAUUUGAUUUUUUAGCGAAAUACGGUUACGGCAUUACUAACACUCUUUCAAGUUGGCUGGAUGUAAUUAUUGUAUGCUUCAUCUACUUAUUGGUUAAAUAGUUUUUCACUUGGUCAUCUUUGACUCCUAUUGUGCACAUAUUUCUUAAAGUCUGAAAAAAGAAUCAAUUGAUUUGGAAGUGUUCAUGUAAUUCAUGUCUAGCAAAUCCACAUUGUGCUAUGCAUUUCAGUUGCAUUUAGAAACAAAUAUAUUUUAUGUACAUACAUUGAUGGACUUUAUUUUAGAUAACCUUAAAAAUUAUAUUUGACCAAAUAACUUUGUCAAAAUUUAUUUGACCAAUUAACCCUAUUUUGUCCAACUCAACACUAGGGUGAAGCAAUAAUUGGAAGACGGUGAAUCAUUCAGAGUCUUUAAUAAAAGUUAAAAAGACGGUGAACCGUUUAUUGCCUUUCCCUUUAAAAAGAAAAUAGUGAAUGAUUCUUCGUUUCUUUCUUAGUUAAGUAUUUUCAACAUGCAUUUCUAACAAUUCGACAAAAUCCCAACAGCUCACUUACAAUCCUAACAACCCCAUAGUAGCUCGCAUGCAGUCCUAACAACCCCAUAAAAUUUCCUAACAACCCACACAAAAAACCUACAAACAACUGUAACAACCAGAAAACCGACAUAUGGUAAAUGAUUCACCGUUUUCUAAAGAUGGUGAAUGGUUCACCACUUUCAAUGAACACGGUGAAUGAUUUAUUGUCUUUCACUCUUUCUCCAUCAUUGUGCUGAGUUGGACAAAAUAGGGUUAGUUUGCUAGAAAAUUUUUUGUUAGGGUCAUUUGACUAAAUAUAAUUUUUUUUUAAGGUUAUUGUGAAGAAAUGUCCUACAUUGAUACUUGGCACAUAAAUGUAGCCAAAAUACAACAGUACAUAGAUCUACUUGUGUAAGACCAUUGUUUUACAGUAAUCUGCGUUCUGUAUGAAAUGGGUUAGUUCGUAAAACAAAAGAUGAAAGUGGAUGCUCUUCCUUUUCUUUUGACAAACUGGAAUAAACAAUUACCAGCAGAUUAAGCUGAUUCGAUUUUCUUUUUGAAUACACUGCUUUUGCUAUUCCUUUUGAAUCUUUUAAUGCGCAUAUGCAGGCUCAUGGUUACAAGCCUAAAAGAAAGUCACUGGAGGAGGUUCUACGUACUACUAGGAAAAAUGAAGCAAAGCUAAUAGGCUUUGAUGAAGACCCCAUUCUAGUAGAGAAUGAUAAUGAUAUCUGCAUUAAAUUGGAGAAGCUAUCGACCCAUGAACCAGAAGAGAGUAGCUUGUUUCUCCAGGAUGCAAAAUCAGCUGGUACUUCUUUCGGCUAUAAAUCAUUCAUUCCUUCCGGCACGGAGGAAAAUUGUAUGGCUGGCGUGAACGAGAACUACAAUGGUACCAAAUGCAAGCAUGAGCCUGUUAUACAGCAUUAUGUGGUGUCCAGUGGAUUGGCCGAGAAGAGCAAUCCAUGGCAGAAUUCUGAUAUGGAAACUCUCACUUCGUUAGGUUUAUUCACUGGAAACUGAUUUAAAAAAAGAGAGCAAUAUAUGAAUUUCCCCUUUUACUUAUUUACUGUGGACUUAGAUUCCUUCUUACAGAAGUCCACUGCCCAUUCACCUCUCCAACCAAAAUUUAGAAAAAAGGAAAAAAAAAAAAGAAAGCUCCCUAACAUAAGAAAAGGGAAUAUUUUCAAUAAACUACACUUGUAAGGCCUAAAUAUGAAAAUUUAGAUUUUGCCGAGUUAUAUAUAACAUAUGUAAGUUGGUGAUCUUGCAAGGAUAUAGAAAUUCUCGACGGUAUAGUUGAUAAUGUUUCCUUCACUGUGUAGGUGAUCUGGAUCGGAAACCUGCAAAAUCACGCCUUCUUGAGAUCUGUACCGCCAACUAUUGGGACCCUCCUUUAUUUGAGUGUUGCAAAGAUGAAGGACCUAGCCACCUAAGAGAGUAAUCUUCAUAUCCUGUGCCUAUUUCGUGGACGUGUAUUUGUUAUAGUUAGUGAAGUACAUGUUUCCAAUCAGAAAAAGUACGGUCUGAUUGUGAAGCUUAGAUAAGCUGCUGUUGUUAUUUAACAAUCUAACUUGCCGAUAGAAAUCCAAAGCUUAAGACUUGCUGCCGAACAAAAUAUUUGUGAUUUGGUUUCUUCUAUUAGAUAGCUAAUAAUUCCCCUGUUAAAUUUGAUUUAGUCUUCUUUGUUAUCGAGUCAUUACCAAAUGAAAAAACAGGAAAUAAAGAUGUCUUCUCUGCUAAAAAUUGUAUAUGCCCAUAACAACUUAAAGCUCCAAGGGGAACAAGUUAGUUGUGCUUUCCAAUGUCAAAUGUAUCCUAUGUUAUAUUUUUGUCUUUUGUACAUUUGAUGUAUUGUAAGCUCAUCAUGUAACAUGUCCAAUACAUAUGCAGGUUCACAUACAAGGUUACUGUUCGAGUCGAAGGAGCUACUGCAGCAUUAUUGGAGUGCUUCAGUGACCCGAAGGCGCAAAAGAAAGCCGCACAAGAGCAUGCCGCAGAAGGGGCCUUAUGGUAUCUCAAGCAACAAGGUUACCUACCUUAACCCUAAAUCUCUUUCCGAAGCACUCUGUUGUAUAUAAUUUUCCGUAUUUAAAGCAGGUCCUGUAGAUUUCCUAAUAUAUGGUCUGAACAAACAAAAAUUCUGGUUGUAUAGUAUGCCAACCCGAUUUAGACUAAAAUGGGAUCUUUCCCAUGAUCCCUUUUUAAACCCGUACCCAAUUAUUAGGACUAUCACCCAAUCUGAACGGUAUUAGCAUAUAAUCCUAACCCUCGUUAAAUAGGGUGAGGGCACGAGGCACUAUCUUAUUCUGUGUCACUCAUUUUCAAACUCGCUUAAUUAUGUGUAUGUCAAGAGAGAGUAUGGCUUUAAGCUCUACAUUCUGGUUUUCCCUCUUCUUUUGCUCUUCUUUUUGUCUAAGGCUGAAAGUAUUCGGUCUAUCGGAGUAGCUUUGGAGCCAUGUUUAUUGCCCCUCUUAAGAUCUAAACGUUAGCAUGUUGCUCUUGCGAGUGCAAUUUCAUACUCGAGUCUUGGAUAACUUCCCUGGGGUAUAUGUGUAAAUAGAUCUGAAGUUGGAUCUGAAGUUGUUAUGAAGUAAAAUGGCAAUGGAUGUUUAUUUGGAAAAACCUAUUUCAAGAGGGAGGUAUGGUAGGCAAUGUUCAUGUGCGCAGUCCUUUUUCUUUUGUUCUUUCUUAACAGCAGAAGCAGCGUUGAAAGUGCUUUUUCUGUACCUGGCAGCUGAAAUAGCUUGCAAAUUCCGCUAUAUCUUUCAUUUAACCGUGUUGUGGAAGAUCCCCAGGACUCCGUUUGGGCUUAGAAUUGUGGACAUUACACAAAUGAUAAGAGUUGCCAUAUCAUGUUGCGAAGCUAUCUUUGUAUGUUACCCUGGAACUCUUUUUUGCUUAAGAUCAGUUUUUUUUCAUUCUCGAAGAAGUGCAUAUCUUACCGGGAUCCUCAUUAAUAAUGGUCCGGAACAAUAGUAUCAUUGGAGUAGAUACACGACUCGCUUUAAAUAUAAAUACAAGAAGCCGAGUACGCGGAUUAGUCCGAGUGGAGAGAAAAAAAAAAUAUAUUGAACUUAAAAUCUUUUCUGGAGAUAUUCAUUUUCCUGGAGAGACAGAUAAGAUAUCCAGGCACAGCGGCAUUUUUAUACCACCAGAAACGGAAAAAAAAAAUUCUAAAGAAUCAAAAAAAUGGAAAAAUUGGAUCUAUGUUCAACGGAUCACACCUACCAAGAAAAAGUAUUUUGUUUCGGUUCGACCCGUAGUCACAUAUGAAAUAUCCGAUGGGAUAAAUUUAGCAACACUUUUCCCUCGGGAUAUCUUGCAGGAAAAGGAUAAUGUCCAACUUAGAGUUGUCAAUUAUAUCCUUUAUGGAAAUGGCAAGUCAAUUCGAGGAAUUUAUCACACAAGUAUUCAAUUAGUUCGGACUUGCUUAGUAUUGAAUUGGGACCAAGAACAAAAUGGUUUUAUAGAAGAGGUUCAUGCUUCCUUUGUUGAGGUAAGGGCAAAUGAUCUAAUUCGCGAUUUCAUAAGAAUUGAGUUAGUCAAGUCCACUAUUUCGUAUACCGGAAAAAGGUAUGAUAGGGCAAGUUCCGGAUUGAUUCCCGAUAAUGGAUUAGAUCGCACCAAUAUCAAUCCCUUUUAUUCCAAGGCGAAGAUUCAAUCACUUAGCCAACAUCAAGGAACUAUUGGUACGUUGUUGAAUCGAAAUAAGGAAUGCCAAUCUUUGAUAAUUUUGUCAUCAUCCAAUUGUUCUCGAAUUGGUCCAUUCAAUAGUUCGAAAUAUAACAAUUUGACAAAAGAAUCGGAUCCCCUAAUUCCAAUUAGGGAUUCUUUAGGUCUCUUAGGCGCUAUUGUACCUAAAAUAGCGAAUUUUUAUUCAUCUNGAGAUCCCACAUUGUACGGAUGUGCGGCGAACCGGCACGGGAUCGACGUCACGUGCUCACUCUCUAAAGUGGUCGUGGUUCUGUCGGCCACGGAGAUUACGUCGACGGCCCUCCUCAUGUUGCCCAGAUACAGGUAGGAAUCAUCCCAGCCCCAGAUUGCUCUGCAAAUUGAGAUCAGUAUCGUUUUUUGCAUUUGUUAAAGGCAAGAAUGUAAGUAAUAAUGUAGAGGCGGUGUCAAUGCUGGGUUUGGAGGCGGCUUGAAGUGAAUAGCUUGGAGAUAUCAAAUAUAUAUAUAUAUAUAUAUAUAUAUAGAGAGAGAGAGAGAGAGAGAGAGAGAGAGAGAGAGAGAGUAAUGUUACUAUACUUUUGCGAGUACAGAGAUCUCCAUACUCAUAAGUUGUUUUCGACGAUAGAACUUCCGAAUUGACAUACAAUUCAAAACAGAUCAUAAUAAAAUGCUGUGGAAUUGGUUGAAGGCCUUUCCAUCCGAUUAGAUAAAAAAGGAUUUACAAAGGCUUACCUGAAUGUAGAUAGCCAUCUUCCAGUCUGAUUAUUGUGUUUUAUCAUAAACAGAUCCUCAAAGUUGGCUCCACUGAUGAUCCGUACUUUAUCAUCUCUACUGCAUCAAAGCUCAAAACAGAAUAAAGAAAAAGAAAAAUGAAUUGAGCAUGAUAUGCAAACUCCUUGUAAAAGUAAUUUUCUUUUGUUUUUCUAACACAAAUGCCAUAAUAUAUUUGCUUCAGUUUAGAGCUAGCUGCUUCCUUGCCCUAAAGAAAGUAACUUCUACUUUUAAUUUUUUAGUGAAGAAACAAAAAGGUUAAUAAGCAGAAUAUAUCCACUAAACCAACUAUCACAUAUCAAUGAGUUUUAAGUAUGUUGAGUAACUUACGAGACCAUCACAUCAAUAAGUGUUUUCUUGACUACAAGGGCACAAGAAUUCAAGUCAUACAUCAACACAUUCUACAAUGGACUAAACAGAGUUAGUUUCACUUUUUCCAUCUACAUAUAUCUAGCAGAUGCAGGAGAUCGCAUACCUCGUUGUAGCAAGACAGCUUCCGCUGGGUGAAAAAUGUGCAGAAUGAACUGCUCUGUUAUGCUGAACAGUCUUCAAGCAUUCCAGCUUAUUCUCUUUUGAUCUUCUCAAGUCCCAUAUGCAAGCCGUCCCAUCCGUCGAACUUGUAGCAAACAAAUUAACAUUUUCUGGAUGAAAGUCUAUCGUAUUUAUCCUCUGUUCAUGCAAGUCCCAGGAACCAGAGACUUUACCCACCCUCAAAUCGAAAAGUUUGAGCUCGCCUCGCUCUCCAAAAUAUAAGGAGUUAUUAUCAUGAGGUGCUUGGCAUAAAGAAUAAAUAGAAUAACCGCAGGAAUAUAUCAUGUUGAACGUCUCUGAAUCGGCAUCCAUCAAACAUAUAAACCCAUCGUAGCAACUAGUGAAAAUCUACAUUAGACAGAACCAAGCACAUAGGAUGAAUGACCAUAUAAGAAGCAUGAAGGAGUCCCCAACAAAAACAAAACCACAUUAUCAUCAAGUGUUACAGCUGAGAAAAACAGUUACACUCUCAAUUGUGGACGGAUCAAUCUGUGACAUAUUCUAGUUCAUUAAACUUAAUCUUAGUAACAUAAAUAUAUACCGAACAAACAUUUGUAACAUUCCUGUAAGGGGCAAUAGAGAAUAUGUUUAGAACAAUCAAUUAACCAGAUUAAUGUGUGGUGCAGCAAAGUACAGGUGACUCUGAAUCUCAACACUCAUUCAGCUAUUCAACCACAACUACAUUUUGCACCAAAAUUCUUCAGCUACCAACAAUUCUAAACCAUUCUCCAUCACAAUUGUACUCAAAGUUCAACCUGUUGCAUGUCUAAUACAAAGCAUAUUCGUGUACCGGAACAAGUCGAAGGCAUAAUUGCUCAACAAUUUUUUACACAACUAUGGCCUACAAUAAUGUUUGAAGCGAAUCGAACAUUUAGGCUAACUAUUGAGAAAGAAUUAGCGCUGAGUUAUUGCGCGCUUUUAAUUUAAAAGUAAAACUGUGAAAGAAGAUAUUACCUUUGUCGGCGAAUCCAGAUGGACCGAAAUCCCCGAAAUUGGAGCUCUGUGAGGAAAAUAUACAAACACCCCAUCUCCAUCCCCAUCCCCUCCACUAUAAUCCACAUCCCAAAACCCUAGAUGCCCCAGCUUAUUCCCCGCAGCGAUCACCGUCCGAUCCCCAAAAGGCAGGAAUCGCACGGCCAGGAUCCUCUCCCGGAGAACCUUCCUCACCUUCUCCUCCCUCAGAGCCAUCGAACGCCUCGGAUCGAACCCGGAACCCCUUCCCUUCACAUGAUCCGAUUCCGACGCCUUUGAAGCUCCCAAAAUCGCGUCGAUCAGGCCUCGAUCGGCCGAUCCGGAGCCCCCGACGAGGGUAUCGGCGGUGGGGAAGGGGCCGAUCCUCUCCCGGGCGGCGGAGGCGGGAUUGGGAGGGGGAGAAGGGGGAUCGGAGGAGGGGGAUGGGGAUCGAUUAGGGGGGAGGCCGCGGGUGCGGAGGGAGCGGCGGAGGACGACGGGGGAUCGGGGCGUGGGGGAGGGGCAGGGCCUCUUCUUCGUCGUCGCCAUGGAUUGCUGAGCGGAGGAGGAGGAGAGAUCGGAGGCGAUGCGGCGGAGCUUGAGCGAGGCCAUCACCUCGCCGUUGCGGCGGAUGUUCUCCAUGCGGCGGCGCUCGUACUCGGUUAGGGUUUCGGGCGCCAUUAGAGAGGGGUGAGGGGAGAGAGAGAGGGAGAGAGAGAGAGAGAGAGAGAGAGAGGGUAAUGAGAAGGGGAACGGAGAGGUGGCGCGAAGUGAUGGGGAGAAUGGCGGGAAAAUUAAUUUUGCUUGCAUUCGCCACGUGGCGUGAAGAGAUUGGCGAGGUGUAUAGACAUGGUUCUCCGAAUAUUGGACUUGAUUAUGGUUAAUUGCAGUGCUAAUUAGUCCUCCAUUUUUUAUGUUUAAUUACAGUCGCCACGUGGCGUGAUGAAAUUGCUUCGGUCUAUAGACCUGGUUCUCCAAAAAAGUGACUUUUAUUUCUGGUUAAUUGCAGUGUUAGUCCUUACACUUUCAGCCAAAUUUCAUUUUGAUCCUCAAAUUUUUAAGUUUUACGUGAGAUCCAAACCUUAUAAAACUUUCAGAAAUCUUUUACUUUAGUGCUUAUUUUGAAGAAAAAAAAUUAUUUAGCUCGUUUAUAUACCUAUGCACGACGACUCCUUUAAUCUCAUAUUUUUAACUUAACAAUUUAUUAAAAAAAUUGAUAAAAUUAAUGGAUAAUAGGAUACAAAUAUUAAAUAAAUAUGUGUAACAUGAUAAGUAGGUGGUACCCAAAUGCGUGGGUAGUAACUUUUUCUAAAAAAUAAAUGAGUACAAGAAUUAAAAUAAAAUAAUUUUAAAAGUACAAAAGUAUUUAUGCCUCUGACAUUUUAACCAUCGUAUUGCUUUAAGAGCCGUGCAGCACUAUUAACAAUACGUAAUUUUAAAAUCACAAAUAUGUUGAGUUUCUGUAUUUUUAAAAGAAUAUAAAAUUACGAAUAAUAUAUAUUUAUAGAGUUGAGCUAUUAUAUUAUUAUGGAUAAACUUUAAAUAUCACCCCUGUGGUUUUGCACUUUCUGACUUUAGGAUCCUAUGGUUAAAGUGUAUCAAGUUAGUAUUCUUUGGUUUCAUUUUUAUCUUUUCAUCAUUUUUUUGUUAAUAUUUUGUUAAAUUAUAUAUAAAAAAAACUUCAAAUAUUCCAUCCAGAUUUAUUGAAUAUUCAAUUUAUUACUCUUUAAUUUUAAUUUUGUCACUGAUUUAAAGAAAAAAAUUAGUAAAAUCGAUAAUAAAAAGAUAAAAAUAAAACGACAUGACACUAAAUUGAUAUACUUUAAAUCAUAUGAUAUUAAAGUAAAAAAAUGUGAAACCACAGGCGUAGCAUUUGAAGUUUUUUUUCUAUCACAGCCUAAACAUUCAACAGUCAAAAAAAUUAAUAGUAAAUAUUAUUUCUCGAUAGUAUUUUAGCUCCAUUUUCUCUCUUUCUAUAUAUAUAUAAUAUUUUUAAAUGAAGUAAUAAGGCAUUAGAAUAUAAAAAUACCAGAGUUAAAAAAAAUAAUAAUAAAUAAAAAUUGAAAGUUCUCAAACGGGCCACGAGCGAACCAAAUCGGUCGAAUUAGUUCGGUUCGAUUUAAUUUAGCUUUUAUUUCUAGUUCGUUUCGGUUCGGUUCGGUUUUUUCUUAAAAAAUGGAACCGAACGGAACCGAACCGAGCAAAACCCCUCCCCCGAUACAUUUUUCCCCUUUCUUACGACACAAGCUUAUAAUUGUAGAUACAUUCAUUUCUCUCCCAACUCCGAGAACCUCGUCCCCGAUCUCAGUCGCCCAUGUCGGUGAGUAUCCUCCUCCCUCCUCCCCCAAAACCCUAACCCUAAUCGAAUUCCUUCCCCUCUCUCUGUCUCUCUCUCUCCCUCUCUCUCUCCCUCUGUCUCUAAUCACUCUCUUUCUCCUAUGGUUUGUAGAUCUUCGAGUACAACGGGAGCGCCCUCGUGGCGAUGGUGGGGAAGAACUGCUUCGCCAUCGCCAGCGAUCGCCGCCUCGGCGUCCAGCUUCAGACCAUCGCAACCGAUUUCCAGAGGGUCUACAAGAUCCACGACAAGCUCUACGUCGGCCUCUCCGGCCUCGCCACCGACGCGCAAACCCUGUAAGUGAGAGAAAGAGAUCCGGGAUUGCCCGGGUUGUGGCUUUUUUUUUGGGGGGGGGUUUGAUUUGAUAGUAUCGGUGUUCUUUAGGGCAGUGUUUGGUUGCGUGUAAAAAGAGGUCCAAAAAUAACUCUCAGGUCGAAAAGAUUUUGUUUUGCUUAAAAUACUUAUUAAUUUUGAAGCAAUUUUCCGUAUUUUAGGGUGAUUUUCGAUUUUUUCCAGCAAAAAAAAAUGCAAACUGAAAAGUUAAAAUUGAAACAAUAAAUAGAUAGUUUCUUUUUCAUCGAAAAUACGUUUUUCUAAUUAUUUUUUAUGAAAAUUGUUUACAAUGGUUGCUUUACACGGAACCUAUCAUUUAGUAUAUUUUUGUUUGGUUUGUGUUGUUCAGGCACCAGAGGCUUGUGUUCCGGCAUAAGCUGUAUCAGCUUCGAGAAGAGAGGGACAUGAAACCGGAGACUUUCGCUAGCCUUGUCUCCGCUUUGCUAUAUGAGAAGAGGUUUAAAUUUAAUUCCGGUUAUUAAAGUUUAUGGAAAAUGGAAGUUUCAUGCCUCCUUGUUUGUUUGUUUGAAUGAUCGGAAUGGUUAUUUUUGGUUUAAUUCCAAAAUCAGUGAAGAAGUUAAUGGUUUUGAUUUCAGGUCAUCUGCUUGAUCAUUGCAAUAAAAGAGCAUGUAGGAUGAGAUUGUUGAGUGGAUAGAUGAUAAAACAAGGAGAGAUGAGAUAUAGGUUUCUUUGCGUAUAUCAGUGGAAUGUUUGGUUCCCAUCCAAUGCUUUUUCUUAAGUGUUGUGUACGUAGAGCUGUUCGAAGAAGUCCUAGGAGCUUUUUUAUUGAAAAUCUACUAGUAAUUUAUGUUGUAUCUAGAUGCAGAAGCUCUAUAGAGGAGCUUCUAGUUUUGAAGCCCAGAAGUUAAUUUUAUCUUCGUGCUAUAGCCUAUGGUCAUCGGCUCGUAACUUUUCAUUUACCAUAUGCUGGAAUUUUGUUCAGGAGUAGAGAAGUUGUUCUAGAAGCAGGCUAAAAAGUAUUUGGAGGAACUGUAGGAGUAUGAAGACAUAUUGGAUGGCAUCAGAAUGUGCGAGGAGGAGGUGCUCUGAAAGGGGUUAAGGAGAAUGAUUAUAGAAAGAGGCAAAGAAAGAACUAGAGAUAAGAGUGGGCAUGCAUUCCUUGACAUUAAUUCUUAGUUUUGAACAGAAGUACGUAUGCCUUAAUAGAUUCAAAUGUAUGUAACAGAAGUUCUUUUUGUAAUUUGUGAACUUAAAUCCAUUAGCAGGCUGAAAUUUCUCAUUUAAUAUCUGUUAGUUGUUGCCUUUUUGUAUUGUUUUUUGCGAGAUGGUUUUCUACCCAUUUCUAUCUUUUUUUCCUUUCCCUAUAAUAGUGGCUUUGGCUGAAAGGUUCUUUGAAUUCUGCAGAUUCGGCCCGUACUUCUGCCAACCGGUAAUUGCUGGGUUAGGAGAUGAUGAUGUACCCUUCAUUUGUACUAUGGAUUGCCUCGGUGCCAAGUAACUAUCCAUUUCCAAUGCUUAUCCUGCAAGAAACUUCUUUAUCAUCUAACCAAAUUUACCUACACCUGCAAAGCACUUCUUUUGUUGCUUGCUAUUUGCUGUCUCUAUUUGCAUCAGGAGAUUUUUCUAGUACCUUGGCAUUCUUCAGAUUAACGUACAAUUUCUACUUGUUUCUUCUAGGGCUUAAAAAAGAAGGACAAAUUUAUUCAAAUAGAGCUUUUCUGGGUUGCCUGCAUUUAUUUGGUAAAAGAUGCUCUAUAAUAGAUGCUGAAAGAGAGAGCACUAUAUAAACUAAAGGCUUCAUUUGGUCCUUUACUUGAUACUACAGAGUUCACUAGAGCAAAACUCAGAAGUAGGAAUGCUCUCAAACAAUCAACAAAUAAUUUCCCUCUGGUUUUGAACCUGAUGUAAGCCCUUAAAAAUAGGUGUUCAAAUACCGGGUACAGCAAAACUGAGACAAGUUGAGCACUUGCCAUGGGUGCUAUUAGGCCAAUUUAUGGAUAAACUCUACCUUCUAACUUGCAUUCAGUCUAAUUAUUCCAGUGCCGGUCCUAGGGAAGUUCCUCUGAAUUUCAUGCCUGCUAAUUGGGAAAUGUGCAAUCGAUGAUAUGAAUGUUUGUCCGAUGAUGAAAGGAAAAGGAAGUUGUCUUGCCUGCUAGUUUAUGGGUAAACUUCCAUGUACCAAUGGUGCUUACCGGCUAGCUAAAACAUGGAAGUUUACUUUAGAUAGGAGUUGUUUCUCUACUUUAUUGCCAUAUAUUUCCCCCUUGUGGUAUAUCUGAAUUCUUUAAAUUUGUAUCUCUUUAUUUGGAAGAGUAUGAAGUGGGUAAUUUUCUGUUGCAGGGAGCUUGCCAAAGACUUUGUUGUUUCUGGUACAGCCUCGGAAUCCCUGUAUGGUGCUUGCGAAUCCAUGUACAAGCCUAACAUGGUUAGUUGCUGUGUUGUUAUACGUGCCUAUAUAGUUAGUAUCUUAGCUGGCUCAUAUUAUUUUGGCUCUACUUCUUGGUGACGGUCAUAUUUUCUGGUCAUUAGACGGUUUAGUGAUAAAGGUAUGACGUACAGAUAUUUUCCUUUGUACCAGUGACUAAUUUCAUUGUUUGGGUUACGUUUGUUGUGAUAUCUCUCAAGUUCAUGGGAUCGAAGUUAUGUCAUUUCGUAUCUAUGAAUGCUGAACAGUUUUUGGGUCUUGCCGUAAGCUAUUUGCAUUUUACCUCCAUAAGUGCAAAGCUCUUUUACAUAGUCAUGUUUGUGCAUAGUUGCAAAUUCAGAGCGAGUUUUAGGACUGAGAUUAAUAAACAGUAUCAUACAUGCAGCAUAAAUAACACACAGAGAAUAUGAAACCAAAGCUCUUAAUUAACACACGCAAGCCAGGAUAUAGUUAGCAGCUGGCGCAUGAAUAAUAGUACUUCUUUCUACCUUAUGUUUGUCUUUCUCCAUUUUAAAUGUUGAAUUUAUGUUUCCCUGAUGACUGCAAUCUGAUAGGGAGAGUUCCAGGAUUCUCUUGUAUUGAUUUCAUAAUGAGGCAUGACAUUGACCUUUUUCCCUCGCAUGACAGGAACCUGACGAGUUGUUUGAGACUAUAUCGCAAGCACUGUUAGCAUCUGUGGAUCGUGAUUGCUUGAGUGGCUGGGGAGGCUAUGUUCUUCUCGUGUAAGUUCUUCAUUCAGCCUCUUUGACGGUUCUUUGAUAUUUGCACCACUCGUGCAUUUUCUUGUUGCUAAAUAAAUACCUAGCCUUGCAAAUCGUUUUGCCUAACCGGUGAUUGAAAUAGGGUACGUGAAAAAUCAUGUUUCGCCAAGUUGGUGCUCUCUACUCUUCAUUUCUGAGACUACUACUAUAGUACAGAUUAAAUACCUCUAAAAAUGUCAUGUUCUUAGGAAAAAAAGAAACACUGGUUAUGCUUUUGGGUUGUCCAGCGUUUAGCAACAAUUUGGGAUUGUUUACCUUUUGAAAAUAACUUGAUGUUUAGCAUGUAGUGAGAGUGUUAAACCCAUACUUUGCUCUAGCUAAAACCUCAAUUUUGUUUUCCACAUUUAACCUGCAUCCCCCCCCCUUGGCUUUAUUGCAGAACACCGACUGAAGUGCAGGAGAAAAUACUGAAGGGAAGGAUGGACUGAAUCCUCCUGUUUAGGAUACGAAGAGUAGUGAAAAUUGAUCACCCUUCAAACUAUGCUGUUUUCCUACAGUUUUUCGACGUUAAUUGCUGUUUUUUCUGUGACGGAACAAACUACAAAGUACAUUUAGUGAUUGCUUUAUGUAUGGGUUGUUCGCUUGAUUACAACUGAUUUCAGAAAGAAUAUUUAUAGAUUUCGAAUGGAUUCUCUAAUUCGAGUCGGUGAAUGGCAAAGACAAAAAAAAUUGGGGUUUUGAUACGGGGGAAAGCUUUGAUGAGCUUUUGAGCUUGCGAAGCAGAAGCUCUGAUUUGAAUCUUCUGCAUAUAUUAGGUUGUUUUUUUUAUUAUCAAGCUGCUUAACUCAGAAAAACUCCAGGGAGGACAGGCACUUUCUUAAUUUGAGAUGCUACUACUUAUUCAAUCCAUCUUUCAAUUGAGUCUUCCUACAUGCUAAAUUAGAUUAUUAUUCCAAGAAAGAAAAAAAAAAUAAAAGAAAAUUGGAAAACAGUGUCUCUUGUUAUUUUUGGAUCAACCUGCCUGCCUUAUUUGUGGUGCCUACAAGAGAUUAAAUUUUUUAUGAAUCCAAUUUAGAUUUUAUCCUUGGCAAGAAACAUGCUCUAAGAUUCAGAGUAUGAUUCCAAUUUCAAAUUUGAAUUUAGAUUCAAAUCUCGAUACGGAAUAACAAAUUUGCUGAAAUUCACAAUAUGAAUUCAAAAUUCGACUCAAAUUUGAAUACUAAAUUUUAAUUCAUAUUUCUAAUUUAGUUUAAGAUCUAAUAAUCAAAUUCAUGUUUGGCCCAGGAUAAAACUGAAUAGGUUUGUUUAAAAGAUAAGGAUCACAAUUGAUUAAACACACCACCGGGCCUCUUCCCGUCAGUGUCAAUUACAAACAACCAAAGCUGAGAGUUACAAACUAAACUCUUUUAAAAUUUGAGUACAAAAUAUUUGAGGCCUUUUUAGAAUUGUUUCAGCAUAGAGUAUAAAACCACAUUUAAUACAUGAAGUCCCAAAAUUGAUUUUCGUACUGAUAAUUCACUUUGUAUUUGAAAACUACCGUCGAGAAGCAUCAGAAUUAUCAUCUAUAACUCUAAAUGAAAGCACAAUCUUUCUUGCCACGUGGCAAGAAAUCCUUCAUCCUUUCAUCCUCCUUUCACAAUAUUUUCAUCCCUUUAUCCUCAUUAAAAUCGUCAUAAAUCCUCACAAUAUGUCUUAGAUAUAGGGUUUAAGAACCACUUUAAAGCAUUUCUCAACCGUUCACAUAUUCAUCAUUAAUUUAUAUGGAGAUCCCUUAGUUUUUAGAUUUUUUUAANUAUAUAUAUAUAUAUAUAUAUAUAUUGUCUUUAGUUUAGAGUCUUUAUUAUAAUUGACUUUCUUUGUUUUUGUAAUUUUGUAUUUAUGAUUUUGCUUUAGUUAGAAUUUAUUACUUUUAAAUAUUUUUCUUUGCCUUUAUUAUUUAAUAGAAUAUAUGUUUAAAGUAAAACACGUGUUAAAAGUAAAACAAAAGCCCUGCGUGUAUUCUUCGACAGCAAAUGAUAUCAACUGUUAAUAUCGACAUCAACUUUCGCUGUUUACUUUGCAAAAUCUCCGCACAAUUUUCGUUACCUCCUCCAAGAUAUGGAAUUACUAUGGUCGCAGAUGAACAGCUCUGUUCUUUUGUUGAUGUGCAGGUUCCUAGGGGUAGCCGAUUUAUGGAAAUAAUUACAUAUUGUCAUAUUAAUUAUUUGUUUGAAAUUUAUAAUUAUUUUAAUUUUGCCAUAUUAUAGUGCUGUUGUUGUUAAUGAUUUAUCUACAUCUACAACCUUCCUUUUAUCUUUUAUGCUAUUUCUAUCCACAAAUCAACUUAAAUUAUUUAGCCUUAUUCAAAUUCAACUUAUAACAAAAUAUAACUUAAUAGACAAAUUAAAGCUUAACUAAUGAUCUAAUUUUAACAAAUUGCACUCUAAAUUAAACUGUGCAUGAUCAUUUCUGAAUAUAAAUUGAGUUUUUUGUUGAAUUCUUAACCUUUUCUAUCUAAUUUUAUUAGGUCAUUUUCAUCUAAAACUCUAUUAUAUAUAUCAAACAACAUAUAUCAUGCCACCUUCCCAAAAUCUUAACCUGGUAAACAAGAUUUAAGAAAUAAAAUACAAAUAUGUUGUUCAUAAGAAGUUUUAAAAUAUUGCCUUAAAACAUUCAAUGCAUAGUUUAUAUUUUAUUUGAUAUAAAUAGAAAAUAACUUGAAUGUGUACUCUUAUUUGCAGUUUAAUUCAGUUUUCUGAUUUCAAUGAAGAAGAGAAGUAAAUAUUUUCUAGCAAAACUAUCAUAAGAUCUAAUUUCUAUAAUAUUUUAAGGAUAUGUGUAAUAGACUUAUUUUAUUUUGAACUUUAUAGUAUGGACUAUAUACUAUGAAUUUUAGAAUUUGAUAAAAUUCUAAAAUUUCUAACCAUAUUUAUUGAAGAAUAGUGCUGUUUUGGAGCCAUAUAACUUUCAUUCAAAAUUUUAUAAUUUAGAAAAAUUAGUAUUUAGAAUUCUAACUAUAAUCUUAUUUUUUAAAAUUUUGAACUUUGAAUUUCAUUAUCUACCCGCUGCAUCGCGCGGGUUUCUGCACUAGUGAUUUCAGAAGAGCUAAAAUUUAGAUCCUGAAGCUGCAACGAUGAAAGCGAACCUCUGUAUCGAACAAUUUACUACUGAAUAACUUGCUCCGACAUCCACACAAACCCAAACACAAAAUUAGUUUACUACUGAAUAACUUGCUCCGACAUCCACACAAACCCAAACACAAAAUUAGUUUACUACUGAAUAACUUGCUCUGACAUCCACUGCAACGAUCUCAUAUAAACUGAUCGGAAUCAGUAUUCCAUCCGAUGUGGGACUAUUGGGGGCAUUACAAGCUCCUCCUGUUUAGACUCUAACGUCCUCGUUGAGUCCAAACCAUAUCACAGAGGCGAUGUUUACGGAUUCAAGAGGUGGCUCCCACCAAAUCCGUUGGUGUAGCAUUUUACCCCGUAUAGUACUUAGCUCUCACACUUCCGGCUGGUAUUCGGCUCUGAUACAAAUUGCAACGACCCGACCCGUUAGCAACAAUAACUCGUUGUGCCAAACCACCGGUCCAAAAUGCUUAAGCCUAGUUAUUAUUACUGGUAGGCGAGGCCUCAUAUAAGCUGAUCGGAAUCAGUAUCCCAUCCGAUAUGGGACUAUUGGGGGCAUUACAUCCACAC
rnacentral:lncRNA from 1 species